CAACGCACAAGUUUGAUAAUCUGCUGAGUACAAGCGGCGGCUAAGAAAAAGAAAAAACAAAACAAGAACUGAAGCCGUCGUUUUCUCCGGAGGAAAAAGAACGGAGCCUUUGCUUCUUGCCUUCUAUCCAAAAAUUCACGAAACAAAACUGCUUCGUUGCUAAGUACUAGAGGUGGCAAAUCAACCCACUUAACUAAAUUUACCCAUACCCGUCCAUGAAUAGAUGAGUAUGGAUAUCUUAAAUUUUUAUAUAUGGGUAUAAAUGGGUUACCCAAUAAUACCCAUUUAAUAAAUGGGUAUUAUUGGGUAACCCAUCAAACCCAAUUAACCCAUUUAGAAUUCUCUUCCCCUCAAGUCUCUUCUUUUCCCCCACCUUUUUUUUUCAAAUUUUUCAUUUUGUCAUGAUGUUAACUACUUUUGUUUCAUUAUUAUUAUUAUUAUUAUUUGUUGGUUUUAUUUUAUUAUUUUAUUUUCUCUUAGUUUGUUAACUUGCUCAUUUUUUAGCAUUACCAAUUUAUGAUAAAUUUUAGCCUAUUUUCUUAUCUUUAUAAAAUGAAAUUUUAAAUUUAUAUAUGAAAAAAAUGUUAGGGGUUCAAAAUUUUUGGAUUAAGUUUUUAUAUUAAUUUUUAUAGUACUUAGUUCAAAUUUUUAUAUUCUUAUUAUUCAAUUAUUAAAUAAUAGGUAAUUUUGUGACAUAGAAUAUAAAUGAAAAAAAAUUGGUAAUUAAGUUUAUUGAACAAUAUAAGUAAAUAUUUAAAACUAAUGAUGGGUACAAAGAGUGGUAUAAAUUGAUAACUUAGUUUGCAAAAAUGAAUUUAAAUGAGUUUACAAAAAGUUAAAAUAAAUGGGUUAUAAAUGGGUAAUUAGGUUACCCAAUUCAUUUUUUGACUUACCAAUUUAUACCCAUCUAAUUAAAUGGGUAUAAAUGAGUUGACUCACUUAUACCCAUUACCCAUUUUACCCAACCCAAACCCACCCAAGUCACCCAUUUUGACACCUCUACUAAGUACUAAUCACGCGGGCCGGCCGUCCUUUUCCUUUCUUGACUAUGUGUAGUUUUCAAAGCAAACUCUACUAGUCUACUUCCUAAUUGAAAAAGAAAAACUUCCGAAGAUAAUGUCAAUUUUUUCCUAAAAAAAAAAUAACUAAUAAGAAAAGAAAUCCUCUCAAUCUUCGGCGCUGUCGCUCGGACUUAAAAACAUCUACGUGCGAAUCCCAAAUCAUCUGAACUUAACAGAAAUUUAACGAAAAAUCACCCAUUUUAUUCCUUUUUGCUCUGCUUCCCUACAAUUAACACCAAAUAUCAAAUAUGAAUAAAAUCUACCAAUUAAAAUAAUAUUUAGCUAAAAUUAAGCAGAAAACAAUUAGAAAUUUAAUAACAAAAUGCAACCUAUCACUCAUAUUCUAAAUUUAAUAUUCCACCUUCUUUGUUUGUCUUAUUUUCAUAUUUUAAAAUUUAUAAAUCAAAUUGUGUAAUGGUAAAAGUGAAAAGAUAAUAUAAUCUCUCUCCUCCAGUGCAUUUUUUUAGUAUAUUACUUUUACACAUAAGGGGUGACGAUGUUACAUAAAUUGUCAUUCAAAGGGAGCUAUAUGAGAUUUCUAAAACUCCAAGAGUGUUAGAAAAUAUUAGGAUAAAUCCCAAGAGAGGUUUCUAAAAUAAACCCCUAUAAAUAGGAAGAAUCCUAUUCUUGUCAAUGUGAAAGUCUUGUUAAUUCCACGUGGAUGUCUGGACUGUUGUGUAGUGACCGAAGUUAGGCCGGCCGAAGUUAAGGACCACUCAGUACCGCUGCACCAAAAGCUACAAGGCUUUGCCACAAUUAAUAAAAGUUGUUGGCUCUAAAAAAUGCAAAGUGCAAAGAUCAGGUCUCUUUAGCAGCUCUCCCAUUACCUUUCCCGUUGUCCCACAUCGCUUUUAAGGUCUUCUAGGGUCGGGUAGUUAGAUCCUCAGGUUUGCCUCAAGAGUUGCCGGCUUUUGGGGUUAAAUUUGGGAUUAGGUUUAGCGUUGUCCCACAUCGCUUCUAAGGUUUUCUAGGGUCGGGUAGUUAAGUCCCCAGGUUUGCCUCAAGAGUUGCCGGCUUUUGGAGUUAAAUCUGGGAUUAGAUUUAAUUAUCAGUUCUGAAAAAGUCUGACAAAAAAAAAAAAAGUUUGCCCUUGCAUCAUGCAUCUCCAAACCAUUUCAAUCAUGCACCUCGUGUUACAAAAAUUUUGGUAAACAUAAAGAUUGAUUACUAGAAUGUGAGAAAUCAAACCAUGGGUUUCUCAAAUUUAUAUGAGAUAAUCAAAUGAUGGGUUUCUCAAACUUUGAAAUUUAAUGACAAUAAAUUUAGGAUUAAUCUUUCCUACACUGUUAGUGUAUACACUGACGGAAUUGGAUGAAUGCCACAUCAUCUAAAUUUGAAUUUAAACAUCAAAUUUUGUAUAUGUGACAUGCAUCUAAACCCGCUAAUGUAUACACUAUCAGUGUAUAAAAAAUUUACCCAUAAAUUUAAUGACGUAAUAUUAGAUUCUCAAAUUUUUGAAUGUAAAGAGGUACAUUUAGGUGUUUACCUCAAGACUAACAAGUUAAACUAAUGUAAGUUGAUCCUCCCUAAAAGUUGGAAGGCACAUUAGCUGCACAAGUGGAAGCCAGUAUAGUUGUACUAUGGUGCACUUGUGUCAUGUAUUCUAAUGUAACAUGACAUGGAUCUAGUAGUUCUGAUCAUUGUUAGUCAUCUCAUAUAUAGAGGAUACAUAUGCAAUUACUAGUACUGACAUUGUAUUAGCUCCUAUGCAGCUUUUACAUCACUAAGAGGAAACUGAGAUUUCUCCUAUUGCAACUAAACUUGUUCAUCAGACUCAACUUCUUCAUCAGAAGCCUUGCCUUCCUCAGCCCUACAAGGACCAUAAGCCCAACAGCAAAUCAGGAAAUACAGCAUAUUUACCAUACUUAGUCCAGCCAGAACGCAGAAGUAGUAAUCAUAGUGACCCUUGUUAAUGUUGGUAGAAAUCCAACUUUCUUGGCCUCCUUUUUUCGUCAAAUCAUCAAUACUGUUCAUUAGGAAACUUGCUAGCAAACUUGCCACGGACAUGCCAGCUCCACUUAGGUUAGAAGCCAUACUUGACAUGCUCCUGGGAAACUCUGAAAUGUAGAACUCAUUUUGUGCGAUCGCAUUUAAACCCUCUGCAAGUCCCAUCAAGCAAUAUUGAGGCAGAAGCCACAGUGCCGACAUAUCCACCAUCGCCUCUGGAUCAUCUGAAACUCCUUGCUUAAUCGCAAGACUGCGGCGGAUAUACUCCACAGCUGCUGUUACUAUCAUACAUAGAGAAGAGAGGAAAAUUCCUGUUCCCAUUCUCUGUCUUGCAUUCACAUAAACAGGUUUGCCUUUAAUUCUUGAUGCUAGGGGAAGAAGUACUUGAUCAUAAAGAGCAACCCAGAGGAUCAAAGAACUGACUGCAAAAAUGCCAAAAGAACCUGCUGGAAUUUCAAAAUUUCCAGUGAUCCUGCGAUUCAUGGAGCUUGCUUGAAGUAUUGAAAACGAGUUCUGGCUGAUAUUAAUGAAUGUCACCAUUCCUGUUGACCAUAUAGGGAUCACCUUAAGUAUAGCUUUCAGAUCCUCCACCUGAUCUACGGUGCAAAGACUCCAGGGGUCCUUAGCCCUUCCAUCUGCAGUCAAAUCUUUCUGAGGAUCUCUAAUGAUGCACGCUUUAUUAAGAAACCUGGAGAUGACAUUUAGGGAGUAAGUAUCAACCAUGGAAGCUUAUUAUUGAAUCUUCAUACACGCAUUAAACAACAAAUCUUCACAUUUAGUGGGUAAAAAAAACUGGUAAAAAGCUUUGAAAAAUGGCAUGAAACAGAGAGAAAAUUAGGGAUAAAGGAGAUAUUGUGAUGCAAAUUAUCUGACCUCAUUUUCUCACUAGGAAAAACCAGUGCGGAACCAUUCUUCUGAAGGAACAUGUUUGUGCUAUUUAACUUCAGGGCACUAUUUUUAUAAGACGAUACAAUCACUUUAAUCGGUUCAGUGAGUAAGCUUGCUUUAGCCUUCACCUUGACAUAAAAGGGAGUGGCAAGAAAAAAAGACAGAGCUGCAAAGAGCAUCACCACCACAGAAACUCCAAAACCAAACUGCCAGCCCAUGUUUUCUUGAAUGUACACCAUACAGGUCAAAGCAAUGAGAACAGAGAACGUGUAUGAAGCAUAAUACCAGCUAAGAUAUCUCCCUGACACGCCUACACUUUUGCAGCCAUCUCCUUUUUCCAAUUGAUCUGCCCCAAAGGCUAAGGAAGAAGACCUGAUGCCCCCAGCUCCAGUGGAAAUGAGUGCAAAGGAUGUGAAUAGCAGUAAGAGUUGGAAAGAUGUUGUAGAGUCACAACUGUUGUUAGAUUCCAUACAUGGAGGAGGUGUUGCUUGUGGAAUCAUAGUUGUUAACCAUAAUAGAAUCAUCCCCUUCAGAAUAUAAGUCUUAUCUCAAAAUUUCAUUGAAACUAUUUAAUGACAGUCUAAUAAUCAAACAACACAAUUUGGCUUUUUUGUAUCAAUAACAAAUUGAUUUUCGAUUGGGCAUCAGCUGAUCUGGGAGGAGUUAUCAACAAAUUGAUCUUUGACUUAUAUCAUGCUAAAAAGUAAUAUGUCUAUGCAAAAAGUUAGAAAUUAAUGAAACUUUCUCUAUCAUCAAAGGACACAGUCAUUGGCAUCCUAAUUCAAGUUUCUAGCAAACCUAGAAAUCAACCUAGCUAGAUAUUCAACUCUAGUUGAGUAAGUGAAGCUGGAUUUGAAAAUCAAAUUCCUCCAAAACAGAGGUCCUCUUCGGUGCCUAAGACCAUUGGCAAUUCUCACUAACAGUAACAGAAUGAGGUUCUAGAUUAUUGCAUCUGAUCUUUUCAAUUUUUAAGAGAGCCAGAGCUAUAAUUCUGGAAAAUUUCCUCAAGCCAAACAAGUUCUGUACUUAUCUCUUGACAUGAAUAGUGAAUUCUGGUCAACAGCUAGUUCCUGAGUGUGAUAACGUAACUGGUCCCAAGUGACCUCAGUCAUGUAUAUGAAAAUUCUAAUCCACGGAAAUCAUAGAUUCCCUUGAGGAUGAACAAAAGGAGAUGUAGUAUUCUGACUCCACCUUUCCAAAUAGUGGAGGUACUUAAGAACUCUUAGAGGUCCAUAGAUGUUACUGCAAGGGAAUUUUGAUCCUGACAAGUUAGUUACCUCUAUUCCCAAGAGAAAAAGGUUUAUGAUUACAUAUUACUCAAAAGGCAACAAAAGUACUUGCUAAUAAAUAAUAAAAUACUUCAAAAUCAAAGGUGCUUGAUGUUGACAACCAAAUUGCCAGUAAAACCCCUGUUACGUAAGGAAAAUGACAUCUUAAUUAAAGUCAAUUAUAUAUUAACUUUCUAGUUAUUAUAUAGUAACUUUCUAGUAAUUAAUAAUUUAAUUGAGGCACUAGACAACAACAAGCACUCAAAGAGAAGACAUACUAGACCUUGCUAGAACACGGAAAAUCAUAUCAAAAUAUUGAGAUUGCUAUAGAAUUAAAACCUGCAUAACUGAUAAUACUCAUCUUCCUUUUUGAUUUCCUAAUUUUGGCUUAGAAAUUAAAAGACAUGACCAAGAUAUUGAAACAGGAAGGAGUAAUGUUUACAAGUUCGAAAGCUGGGAAAUUAAUUAAUAGUACCAAAUAUUUACCAGGAGGCUAACAACAGAUCCAAAUCCGAUCAUAUGAAAACGGCCCACGUAAGAAUCUGCAAUGAUGGCUCCAAGAAUCGGCAGGAAGUUAGUAGCUGCUGACCAAUAAAAGAGUACAUUGGAUGCAGCGGUCAUCUCCAUAUGAUAUUGCCUCAUCAGAUACAGAGUCAUGUUAGGAGUUAAACCAAAACUUGCCACCCUCUCAAGCAUCCCAUUUGCUGCAAAGCAGAGUGACAAAAGCAAGGAACACAGUCACUUAAAACUGCAGGCAAUCUUCAAGAAUUCAUAAUCCAUUUCCAUGCCGGCCAAAGAAUCCAUAAAACAAUAAUCAAAUACUGAUUCUUUGCUAGUAACAAAGACCAGUAACAGAUGAGUUGUACCAUUCAGUUUCUUUUAAUCAAGUAAAUGAUGAUUGAUGGAUGGCAUGGUUCUUGAAACGAUGCUGGAUUUUCCCAUUAAAACUUUAUAGGCAAAUUAAUUCAUCCAGUUCACUAAGAGAUAGUGUGUGUUUUUCAUACCUAUGAUGAAUGGCAUGGUUCUGACACCACCCCUUGGUGAAGUCUUCAAGAGGGGCUCUUUAAUCGUAUCUUUCUUUUCAUCUACUGAUGAGCUCUCCAUUUUCUGUGCUUCUCCUGUGAAUCUGUGUCAAUAUAUCUCUUACUUCAUUCUUGGGGCAGAAACAAGCGCAAAGCUCUGAUUAUAUACUAGCAAUCAUAGACUGUGGUGAUGGAAAGAGACCCCUUGUCUCAAUCGCGAUAAGCCAAUACUGAAAAGCGUAGGUAAGUCCGAGCAAUUUGGUGUUGUUGAUGUAUACUUCUUUCAAAAUUUAGGGUGCCUAAUAAACGCUUUGAUUGUAGGUCGUGAUUCAAAUUCCACUCGUAGGUAGGUGUCAGAGCAUCCCUUUGAUUUGUAACUGUUAAAUCUUUAUACAGUCUUUUUAGAUUCUCUCUAGGAUAAAUUAAUUUAUAAAAAUUCCAUCUUUAUCCCAAAAAAAAUAAUAGAGGCGAUUUUACUUCCACAUUGAGUUUGUGUACAUAAUUAAAAUCUAUCCGUAAACAAAUGUUAUAUAAGUGUACACUAAAUAUGUAGUGAAAAAAUACAAUGACGACAAUACAAAAACUUCAAUCCUAAUUGACCCAAGUCUUGAAAGCUAAUUUGGAUUAUGAUCUAAUGUUUUUGAAGUUUCCAAUUUGUGAAUCCAUCUAUAAAAAAUAACUCUAAAUCACAAUAUUGCUAAAUGAUGAAUACAAAUAUCGAAAUUUCUAAAAUUUAGGAGAUGGAUUAUCCAUUAGUUUAUUAUCCAUUUUUACCACUAAUUUGAACUAUUUGCAUUAAAGUCAUUACCAUGCUAGUAAUUUUUUUCUUCUUUUUUUUUUUGUAAGUGGGAGAUUUUUUAUUUAGGACCUACUAUUUACGAUCUCUUCUAUCUUACCAUUCAACCCAACCCACACCCAUUACUAUGUUACAAUGAAAACAAAAAAAUUUAAAAAAAAAGUUUAUCACCCAUUACAUAAGCAUUCACCAUCAAGGAAGAUGAAAUAUGUUUUCAAAGACUUUGAAUAUUUAUUCCUUAAACUUUUUAGUAACACUGUGCAUUGCCGUAUACCUUUUGACAUCUAACAAUUUGCUUUUGUUUUUGGAGAUAUUUUCAGAAACCUCCCUUGAGAUUUCUGACAAUUUCACUCGGAUCAUUUUAAGUUUAAAAAAUUACACCUACCUCCCUUGGCAUAGUAAAAUACCUAUAAUGUCCUCCACUUUGUAGACAAUUUUAAAUUUAAGGCAAUAAAUUUACAAAAUCCAAAAAAAAUUCUAUUUUUCUAUUUCUUAUCUAUUUUUACUCCUCUCUUUUCUAAUUAAUAUAACUUCUUUUUAUUAUCUUCAAUUUUGUGGACAUUAGCAAAUUGAAAUUUACAAAAGCAAUAGAGAGAGUAGAUUAUGUAUCAAAUUAGAAGGAAAUGAAGAGACUCGUAGUCAUAAAGAAAUAAAUAAUGAAAUUGAUGAUUAAAAUAGGAAGAAGAACUAAAGAUGUAAAAUUUGUCAUAUUUUGCUUAUUGUCAAGAAAUACUUUUAUAAAAUGUCAAUAAUUACAUAAGAAUUUCUUUCAUUGGAUUAGAUUUUUUAAUUAUGAUUUUAUUAUGGAGGUAGAAUUAAUUCUCUAUUUUUGAGAUAUUAAUAUUUUUAAGGCCAUAGGAGGGUUGUAAUGACAGUUUUAGAUCAAAUUAUUUUGUAUUGAAAAGGUAUUUGAGUAUUGAUAUUUAAUUUUUGGUACAACUAGUUGUCAAUGGGGUUUGUGUGUAUGUGUAUUUUUCUUUUCUUUCUUUUUUGGUGGUAAGUAUUGAUAUUUUAUAUGCAAUUUAGGAGUUUUUGAAUGAGUACUUGAUUUUAGAAGUUAUACUUGAAUGGUUGUUAGGGAUUAAACUUGUUGAUUUAUGCAAAGUGUGAAAAAAAAAUGAUUAAGUAUACUAUAUUUUUCUUUCUUAGUUUUGUACAAAAGGGUAAUUUAGGAUUUUUGUGAAAAAAUCUACCUUGUUGGACCUACAUUAUUAAGAAACAUAAAAAAUAUGGGAGGUAUAUAUAAUUUUUAAAAUCUGAGGGGAACUCUUUAUAAUUAUUAAAAAUCUCAGGGGAAGUUUGUGGAAUUUUCCCGUGUUUUUGCAUCAAUAUUAUCCCUUUUGCAGGUGAUGCACGCUAUUGCUGUACUAUUAUAUAGAAUAUCCUUUUCCUUGUGGAAAGGAUAUCUAUUUUAAAACAUACAAACAAAUAAGAAAUUGGUCUACAAAGAUUUGCUUGAUUAUUUACCAAUUCAGUUUGCAGCUGGGGUCAAAAAAAAAAAGAGAAAAGAAAAGAAAAGAGAGAGAAUAAAAGAGCAAGACAAAUAAAUAAACAAAGAGCUUCGGGGAAAGAGAAGUUGGUAGUCUCACUCGGGGGAAACAACAAUAAAUAUGGGCGGCGUUGGAUGAUGGGAGGAUGCGAGCUGACCGAUACUCUUCGGGACAGGUGGAGACAGCAUCUUGUGGACGCGGGGGCUAACAUAACAUUUUCUGGACGUGGCAAACGAGGAACAGGCAAAGCUAUCUACGCUAGUGAUUUUUUUAUACGCUAGUCUAAACACCUGUGCUAUGUGCUACGCACUAGGGAUGUACGCGAGUCGAGCUACUCGCGAGUAGCUCGGUCAAUGACUCGGCUCGAAUUCGGGUUGACCGAGUUCGAGCCGAGUUUCGAGUAGUUCGAAUGAAAAUCGAGUCGAGUUUCGAGUCGAAAUAGCCCAGCUCGAGUCGAGUCGAGUAGCUCGACGAGUCGGAGUUAUUUAAAUAAUAUAUUUAUAAUUUAAAUAAUAUAUAUGUAUUAUAAUUAUAAAAUGACCAUUAUGGGUAUAAGUUAUAUGAAAUUUACAAUAUAUCCUUCUUUAUAAUAAAAUCCUAUAAUGGCAAAAAAGUAAUAACAUAAUUGUAAAAAGACCUAAAAUGAAAAAAAUUUUCGAGCCUCGAGCCUAAAGGAAAUUUUUCGAGUCGAGUCUCGAGUAUCAAUUUUUUGGGCUCGCUCGAGCUCGAGCUUUGGUGUAUAUGAGUCGAGUCGAGCUCGAGCUUUGGUGUAUAUGAGUCGAGUCGAGCUCGAGUAUAGCAAUACUCGAGCUCGAUUCGGCUCGAUUACACCCCUACUACGCACAAUGAAUUGUAUUUUUGGAAUAAAUUAUAAUUGAAGAAGGAAUUUAAAAAGAGUGAAAAACUUAUGUAAUUGCUCGUACCAUUUAGGGCACAUCAAAAUAUAGUUAAAAAAUAAAAUUUUGUAGCAAUAGUUAAAGUAUGAUAAAAAUAUUUCCAUUAUUUAUAAACUACCACUUUUGAUGGAAGUUGGAUCUCGAAAAAAAGUAGAAAUGUAUGUCACAAACUGAGCGAUAUAAGGGUCCAAUUAAAUGUAAUUGAAUAUGUAAUUUGAUAAGUAAAUGAAAUACUUACAAACAUUUUGUAUUCAAUUUGAUAAUCUUCUAUGAAGUUGUGAACAUUUUUCAUACUAAUCAACUCUAAGUACGAACACCAAUAAUGGAGGAUUAAUUAUUUCUAUUGAAUUCUAUGGAGUUCGUACUAUAAAUGAGAAUGCACGAUUUUUGCAUGAAUUAAUGUGUUGGUCUGAACAAUGUACUUCCAUUUUCCUGAGAAUUGAGAGCAUACUGAAUUCAGAAUUAUCAUUUUUUUUAAGAAAGUUUAUAAAUAAUAUUACAUAAAAAUAUGUACGUAUAAAUAAUUUAUACCUUUCUCUUUAAAUCUCUAAGAGAAAAAGUAUCACAACGAAAUAUGAAUUGUGCAUGCCUGUCUUGAAGAUCUAGAUUUAGAUUACCACUAGAAUCUCUAACUUCUAUGUUAACAUUGUAUCUGUUAAGAAAAAAAAGUGGUGUACGAUAUAGAAAAUUAUAUUAAAAUUAAAGAUAUAUGAAAAAAAUUCCCUGACAAUAGUGCCAAUUACAUUAUUUAGAUAGAUACACACCAUUUUUGCAAAAUGAGAUUGAUAUGGUUGUUCAUAAUUUUUGCAUAACUCAUCAAACAUAUUGUCUAUGUUAAUGCUUUAAAUGUAAAUAAGUAUUCAAAAAUAUUUAACCUUGUAGGCGGGUAUGUUCCAUGAUAAAAUUAAGUCGAGGGCUAAGAUUGGUUACCGCAAGGAAGUUGAAAAAGAUGAUAGAUUCCUAUUUUUGUUUACGAAAAUGACAAAUGAACAUAUGGGAUAAGUAGUAAUGAGAAUAGAUGAUAGAUGCCAAGGAACUAUUAUGACGAAUGGAUAGAUGGGAUAAGUAAUGGGAAGAAAUGAUAGAUACUGAUGAAAUAUUGUGUUUUUUGCCCUUUUCUUUUUUUGUCGAAACAAUGAACUAUUGUGGUUGAAGGAUACUAUGUUUUUAUCUAUUACUAUGGUUUUGAAAAAGUCUUAAAUGAAUGAAAUUCACAUUUUAUGAAUGUUAAUGGGAAACGUGUUGAGUUCAAUAAUGAAAACGUUCCUAAUUAUGAUCUUGGAGAAGUCUUAAUUGGAGUGAAACUUGCAUUUGACAUAUGCCAAUGGGGAAUGUGUUGAGUUUAAAGAUGGAAAUGUGGUGGUGAUUUGAAAGACAUGCACACUAAUGACUUAAAAAUGGUGCAGAACAUGCAUAUACUAAUGAGACAUUUCAAUUUUAAAGGAUAAUGUUCACAUGAUAGAAAUAAUUUUGAAAAAUAACUAAAUAUCAAUAGUACAUGCGGCAGGAGUUGAGAGGAAUGUAUUUUAUAGAAUAAAUUAAAUGUGAAAUGCUAGACAAAAAGAAUUGGGACAGAGAAGGUGCGUGGAGGUUGUUUGUUGAAAACCUCUUCUCAAAUUUAUAUAGAUAUAUAUAUUUUCCUUAUUAUCUUUACAAUAUAUAAUACCACAGGUGAGAGAACCAUUGUGUGGUGUAAACACACAAUAUUAUUCUUUGAAGUUUUUAUUUUACCUUUAAUUAUAGGGGUAAAAUAUCUUUGCAGUAUAUAAUGCCAGAGGACUAUUGUAUAGUGUAAACACACAGUAUCAUUUUUAAAAUUUUCUAUUUUAUCCUUAAUUAUAAGGGCCAAAUAGUCCCAGUUUAUUGCAAGAUAACCACACACUUACAGCGUAGUUUCCAACUCCCACGUUUAUGUAUUCCACUCAUCUUCCUUUUUAACAUAUCUAGUCUAUGCGGGAAUGGGGAGCUUUUCAAUCGAAUUCUGAUUGCUGACGUGGCCCGCUUGCAUUGGUUGAUUGGUGGUUGUCCGCUCGUGUGAAUUUGGUCGUCCGCUUCUUGUGUGAAUUUGCUGGCCUGCCGAUUGUUUCUUUCUUUCCAUUCCCACGCCUGAAUUCUUUCGUUUUUUUAACAUAUCUCAAACGUUUAACAAUUCUUUUGGAUUUUGUUUCUUUUUUUUUUGCUCAGCCGUUUUGUAAUACUUUUUCCCAAUUAAUUUUUCGUUAUCUAAUCAAUUGUUUCAUUUUUUAUUACCUAACACAUAACAUUUAGCUUUCAACUUCAUACAAUUAUUAGCAUUUUUUUGUGGUUUCCAAAUAAAUGACAAUUAAUUAUCAAAUCCUUGUAAUUGACACAUACUAAUUAUUAUUAACACGUUUUUUUUCCAACUUCAUACAAUUAUUAGCUUUUUUUUUGGUUUCCAAAUAAAUGACAAUUAAUUAACAAAUCCUUGUAAUUGACACAUAUUAAUUAUUAUUAACACGUUUUUUUUUCUGAAUAUAAGAGGGGGAGGCAUUCGCCUAUUAUUAUCAAAUUUUCAUUACAACUUUAUAUGUGAUAAAUUUAAUUAUGCCCAGUAAGUUUAUAUGUAAGUCAAUUUUAAAGGUUUAUUUUUAGAUGAAAAAAGGGACAAACACUUAACUCAACUCAUUACUCUUGUCUUCUUUGCUUUUGGCGGGCUUAAUAGUUAAUUGUUUCAUAAUUAACUACUCUUAUAAAGUAACACCCUUUAUUACCAGGUCUUUGCAACGGACAAAUUUUGUUUGUUUAGUUUGGCUGCAUCGGUUCUCGAUUUCUUCAUCCGCCGCUCAUAUUUCCUGUCAUCAGCCUCCAGCCUCCUUUUGUUGACAGCUGAUUUUACCUGAGCUGCGUACUACCUGGCUCAUUUUUAUUAGAUUGCCCAUCCUUUCUGCCUCCAUUUACGCUUCCUCAUAGGAGCCUUCUGUAGUCUUUUUUGUCCUUUUCUGAGGUCAUGCCUGUAAAUCUGCAAUCCGCCCCCGCCUCUUCUCGUUGUCAUCCAUCACCUCUUCUGCUUCCGUCGAUUGACACUGUUCUCUGCUUUGCAUUUGUAUAAUGGUUAUACAGUUUCUCCCCUUUUCUUUGCAUUUGUCCAACAGUUAUAGAAUUUCUCCGCUUUCCCCCACCAGAUUUUCGGCUGCUCAACAUCAUGAACAGUGGUAAUUGUGCAUCUGCUCCUUUCUUUACCCUUUUUUACUGCUCUUGUUUCUUUGCUGAACAGAAGGAACUACCUCAUAAGCAUUGCUCUUUCUUUUUCUUUACCUGUUUUGAACCAUCCUUUUCCCUGCCUUAUUUGUUUAGCUCCGAUUUGCGCUGCUGUUGUUGCUGCUGCUUCCUGGUGAGCACUUGCUUUUACAGUUUGUUUUCUAUUGUUUUCCCUCUACUCGUUUGAAUACUUCAGAAUUGCUGCCAUACUGCUGUGUUUUUUUAUUUCUUCCUUGCUUCUUUGCUCUCUUGCGACCUGGAUCGCCCAUUUUUAUUUUCCCCUGUCCCUGCUAAAUUCUUAUCACCAAAUCAACUUCUUUUUUUUUUUUUGUCUGUCAUUUUUUUCCCACCUUUUCUUGUAACCCCUUACAUUCUCAUGGUUUCUUUGACAGGUUCUGCUCUUAUUCGAUUCUACGGUGUUUAACUUCUUCGUACAACCAGGUUAGCUUUCUUUAUUUUGUUCUAUUCUUCUUUUACUCUUUUCUCUAUGUUCUAUGCUUUAAUUUGUACCUCUUUGACGUUCAUUUUCUGAUGCAUCGUUAGUUUCAUCCUACUCCAGUUCUACCUUUUAUUGUUUGCCUGUUUCUGACCUUUAAACCCUUUUAUGAUCUUUAUACAUUCCAUGUAUACGUUAUUCUGUUGUUCCUGAUGCUGUUCCAUUGCCAGUAAGAAAAUGCCAACUUUUUGCACUGUAAUUACCUGCCUGAUUUUUUUCCCCUGUUAAAUAUUUGCUUUUUCCUCAACUGUUAGCCAUUAGCUUCUUUUCAUCUCUGCUAUUUGUUUGAUUUUUACUCGCUCUGCUUUUUGUCAUUUUUUAGUUUACAUUCUUUUUUUGCUGAGUUAGAUGUUCCUUUCUUUAUAUAAUCCUUCGGCGUUUUAGCACUCUUAGCGAUCUUGAAUGGAUAGAAAUACUGUUCGCCGAAAAAAGUAUGCAGAAAUGCCACCGCUGAAAAAAAAAGAACUGCUUCAACGUCGAAGAGAAAAUAGAUCUGCCAAGAAAAAAGAUACACGCUUACUCUCGCGUAUUCGCAAGGUUCCCCUUGGUUAUAUAGAAUCAGGUGUUUCUUUCCCUGAUUCGAACCAUGGAAACCUUGAUAGUGCGAAUCACCCUUCUCUGCAUAGUAACGUGUUAGGAGGUGAAGUAUUGAAGAGCGGUCAUGACAGUGCCGAUGUCAUUACUGAGGCAUUGCAAUAUAUGUCCUCUCGCAACUCUGCUUCUUUUGUUCCUCAUGUUGCCUUUCCUUCUACUGCUGAAAUAGCAAGCCACAUUCCAAAUGCAACUCUUCUUGCAGGUAUAGUCAGUAAUGUCCUUCUUCCUUCUUAUCCAAUGGGUUGUUUUUUGACCGCCUUCACUCCCCUGCCUACUGGUUGCUGUUUUUACAUUUCAAUUCUAUGUAAAUGGAUGGAUCUUCAUUUACAAUCUGCAGAGCUUCCACCUGCUGCUAAGGCUGAUCUUAGGAGCUGCAAAGGAAAAUUCCUUCCAGAAAAAAGAAAAAAUUUGAACCUCUCUUCUUCCACUAUUGAGCCUGAUUUUUGUCUGCCUAGGAGAAAAAUUAGGACCUCCAUACCUGUAGCGUUGCAUGAACGUCCGAGCGAUUGCUUUGAUCAUUCGGAUUGUGUCAUCCUAGGUACUAGCUCUGGCAAAGAAGAUUUGCCUACGAGCUGUCUUUUUCAGAAUUCAGUAGAAUAUUGUUCUUCUGCCCAUGUUUCUAUGAAUUGUGAAAAUCUUUAUCCCCUCGGAACUGCUGUUCAUGCAGCCCCAUUUCUGCACCAAAAAGACAAAUCUUUUGAGAGGCACGAUUCUAUAACUAGAUCUGCUUCCUCUGUUCCUAUGAUCUCGGUUAACAGGACCAACAGUUCUUCUCAUCUUUUUAGAAGCAUUAUGCAACCUUCCAGCAUAGAUAAAGAUCCUGUACUUGCUCAUCAGCUUUUUGAAAAUGUUGUUACGUACUCUCCUUUGGCCAAGGUUUAUAUGCAACCUGGUCAGCUGCAAUCUCCUUUCAAUGAUAAGCACCGACUAUUUCAUUCUGAGAAAAAUAUACCACCCUUUGAGAACCAACCUUUUGAAGCAGCUUCUACAUUUCAAGGUAUAUUUUUUGAACAGCGGCUACUCUCAAUGCAGCCCUUCUGAAUAUUCUUUACUUCUGACCACAUCCAAAUUAUAUUCAUUCAAAUGACAUCAGCCUGUUUUGUUUAGCUUGUUUCUUUAUACGCUUGCAGAAACCACCUCUGCUCAAGUGAGUCGCUCUAUGGAUACUGUUGAAAGAAAUGAUUCGGUCAUGAAUGCAGCGAAAAUUGCCCGCUCUUCUGCUUUCCCAUGUAGAGAGCAGCCUUUUACCCGAGAACGCUGUUCUCAUCGCCGUGUGCCGAAGCAGGCUCCGGGUUGGCAUUUUAUUUCUCAGUAGCUAUUUAGAUGCCAUUGCUAAAUAACCUGAUAAAGGGCCCCCUUAGAUCGCUUCUCAAUUGUAGCUUCGAAAUAAAUGCAGCUGCACCUAAAAAGAGGAGCCAGCGAAUGAAUGCAGCUGCACCUAAAAAGAGGAGGCAACGACGAAUUUUCCCAAUCAAUGAAAUCCCGCAUGAAGCUUUGGCUCUUCCAGAUGCUCCUAAUUGUGAGCACUGUGGAGCCAAGAGGUUCCAUUUAGAACCUCCUAACUUUUGCUGCUCUGGAGGAGAGAUUUCUAUAGUUGCUCCAUCUAUGCCUUACGAUCUUAAGCGCUUAUUUAUCGAAAAUGAUGAGGAAAGCGCUCAUUUCAGAAAUAAUGUGAGGACCUAUAAUAACAACUUAGGAUUCACGUCCUUUGCUGCAAAAUAUGAUCCAGAACUGACCAAGAACACAAAAGGUGUUUAUACUUUUCGUGUUCAAGGUCAGGUCUACCAUUUCCUUAAUAGUUUACUCCAGUCAAGCGAAAAACCUUCAGGAAUUCAGUUUUACUUUUUUGAUUCUGAUGAAGAAUUAGCAAGGAGGGUUGGAAGUUCUGAUAAGCUGCGUGAAAGUACUUUAAAAUUACUUAUGCGUAUCCUCUCGAACAAUCCUUAUGCUAGAUUCUUUAAGAAUCUCAGAAAUGUCCCAACCAUUGAGAGCUAUAAAAUUGUUUUGAAUUGCUAUCCUGGUUUAGACCAGCGUGUGUAUAAUCUGCCUACGGCCUCUCAAGUUGCUGCCAUAUGGACUGAGGAUGACGAUGAAUCAACAGAUAAAAAUGUUCAUAUUCAAGUUUAUACCCACUUUAAUACCAGCCAUAGAAUUAAGCAUUACUAUGGCUGUUAUGAUCCUUUGCAAUACCCUAUUCUCUUUCCUCAAGGUGAAUGUGGAUGGCACCAUGGUGUUAAAAAACUUCACAAAAGAAAGAGAAAUGCAGAUUCUUGUGAGAAUGAUUUCAAUGUCGACCCUUCCUCUGUUGAUGACCCUUCGCAUUUACUUGAUUUGGAGCGUAGAGGCAAGUGGAUUUCUUGCUGUCUAUCACUAUUAAGAGUAAGCAUCAUACACUUUUCUGAAUUCGUUUGACAUUUUCCCCUUGGUUCGUUAUAGCUGUUGAACAUGGAAAGAAUGAAGAGGACACUGUAUCAGCGAGAGAGUAUUAUUGUUAUAGGUUUCAAAUAAGAGAAGAUGAUGAGUCAAUGUUGCUGCACUGUCUUAGACUUCUACAACAAUUUUCAGUUGAUUCAUAUGUGAAGAUAGAAACUUCUAGACUGGACUUUCAUAGACACCGACAAAAUGUGGUUAGGUCAGAAAUUCUUCAAGGGGUAUUAGACAGUGUCUCUGUGGGCCAAACUGAAGGUUCUAAAGUUGGUCGUAGGAUAGUGCUACCUGCUUCCUUUAUAGGUGGUCCUAGAGACAUGAGGCGCCGCUAUCUUGAUGCAAUGGCACUCGUGCAAAAGUACGGAAAGCCGGACAUUUUCCUUACCAUGACCUGCAAUCCGGCAUGGAAAGAAAUUCAGUGCAAUUUGAAAUAUCAUGAGAAGCCGCAGGAUAGGCCUGAUCUUUUAGCUAGAGUUUUUAGAGCUAAAUUUGAGAUGCUUAAGCAUGAACUUUUGAAUAAACAGAUUUUUGGUGAAGUGGCAGCAUGCGUCUAUGUCAUUGAGUUUCAAAAACGGGGAUUUCUACAUGCUCAUUUGUUGCUCAUUUUAAAGCCUCAAUUUAAGUUGCUCAAUCCGGAGUCCUAUGACAAGGUAGUCUGCGCUGAAUUACCUGAUCGGUCUCAAUAUCCUCAUCUCUACUCUCUUGUUGUAAAACAUAUGAUCCAUGGCCCCUGCGGAGAUAUGGAUAAAAGUUGUCCUUGUAUGAAAGACGGUUCUUGCAAGAAUCGCUAUCCAAAAAAUUUCUGCCCUCAUACGACCCAUGGUGAAGAUAGUUAUCCAUAUUAUAGGAGAAGGGAUGAUGGCAAAAAAGUGAAAGUUCGCAGAUUCACCCUUGAUAAUAGGUGGGUUGUGCCUUACAACCCCUAUCUUCUUGCUUUGUUCGAUUGUCACAUGAACGUGGAAAUUUGUUCUACCAUUAAAUUGGUCAAGUACUUGUAUAAGUAUGUGUUCAAGGGGCCUGAUCAGGUUUCCUUUAGGAUUAUGACAGAUGAUAGUGCUACUGAUACUGACGAGAUUAAAGAGUUUCAAAAAGGCCGAUACAUUUCACCUCCAGAAGCUUUUUGGCGCAUCUAUGAGUUCCGCUUAAAUGAGAUGACCCCAUCUGUUUAUUCUCUCCAAGUUCACCUUCCGAAUCAACAGCUUGUUUCCUUUCCAAAGAGCUCAGAUUUGCUGCAGUUGUUAGCUAAAGUUGAUUUUUCUAAAACCAUGCUAACUGAGUUCUUCAAAAUGAAUGCAACCAACCCAACUGCUGAAAACCUUAAAUGCUUUUAUAAGGAUUUCCCUCAGCAUUUCGUUUGGUCUUCUAAGUAUAGGCAUUGGACAGAAAGAAAGCGUCGAAAGGUCAUAGGUAGACUCGUCAGUGUUAAUCCAAGAGAGGGAGAAAGGUACUAUCUAAGGCUUCUCUUAAAUCAUAUUCCAGGACCGCUAUCAUUCGAUGAUCUCUUGACUGUUCAUGAUCAAAAAAUGGAUUCGUUUAGGGAGGCUGCUUUGGCGCUUGGAUUGUUGCAAUCUGAUACAUAUAUAGAAGAAACACUUGAUGAAGCUGCUGCAUUUCAAAUGCCAUCCUCCCUCAGAUUAUUAUUUGCUACUCUUCUGGUCUAUUGUUCUCCAACUGAUCCUGUGAUGUUAUGGAGAAAAUUUGAAUUGGACUUUUCUAAAGAUUAUGAGCGGCAUAAACAAUAUCAUGACUACUCUCCCGCUCAAAUUAGGGGCCUGGUUCUGGCUGAUAUUAACAAAUCACUUCAGUAGAUGGGUACAAACAUUGCUGCCUUUCAGUUACCAUUAGAUGAUCUCGUUAGUGUAGAACAGGCUCACCUAACAAAGGAGAUAGAAGCUGAAAGAAACAUAGACAUACUGCCUGAAGAUCUAUUAAUGUCUUUGAAAUUAAAUUCCCAGCAAAAGUAUGCUUAUGACAUCAUCCUACAAGCAUGCUUUGCUUCCCAAGGAAAUUCUUUUUUCAUUGAUGGUCCUGGAGGUACCGGUAAAACCUUUUUAUACCGGUCUCUGCUUGCUACUCUGAGAUCGCAGGGCUAUAUAGCCAUUGCAGUAGCAACCUCUGGAAUUGCAGCAUCUAUUCUGCCCGGAGGGAGAACUGCGCACUCAAGGUUCAAAAUACCUCUUGAUUUCUCAAAGAACAGAACCUGCCAGCUUAGCAAGCAAGGCGGGGUUGCAAGACUGCUCUCAGAGUCAAAACUAAUCUUGUGGGAUGAGGCUUCCAUGGCAAAACGAGAAACUAUCGAGGCAUUUGAUGAUUUGCUUCGAGACAUAAUGGAGUCUGAACUGCCUUUUGGGGGUAAAGUUGUUGUAUUUGGUGGGGAUUUUCGCCAAACACUACCUGUUAUUGAGCAAGCAACAAAGGAAAUCCUCUUGCAGUCAUGUUUUCUGAAUUCUCCAUUGUGGUAUAAACUUCAUAAACUGAAGUUGACGGAAAACAUGCGAGCUAUAUUGGAUCCUCAAUUUUCUGAAUUCUUGUUAAGAGUUGGCGAAAGGCGUGAACCUGUGGACAUCAACGGUGAAAUAACUUUGCCUAGAGAUUUAGUCAUUCCUUAUUACGAUAAAGAAGAGUCCUUAAACAGGUUACAUGGCUUAAUAAAUUCUGGCUUAUCUAUCUGCUCUUUAGUGUAUACGGUUUCUGAUCAAGCUUCUUUAUUAACAGGUUACUGAACUGUGUAUUCCCAGAUUUAGCUCUCUAUUCCCAGGAUCCAUAUAGCAUGAUUAAUAGAUGUAUUCUUACCCCCAAAAAUAGUUCAGUUGACGAGCUGAAUGAUAUAAUGAUUAGAAGGUUUCCUGGAGAGCUUCACGCUUACAUUAGUUCUGACAAAACUGUAGAUCAGCGGCACCAGGGGGAUUAUCUAGAUUUUCUUAAUUCUCAGAAUCCAAAAGGCCUUCCUCCUCACAGGUUAAUGUUAAAAGAAAACUGCCCGAUUAUACUUAUAAGGAAUCUAAAUCCCAUUGAAGGACUAUGCAAUGGCACAAGGCUUUUAUGUAGAGAGCUUGGCCGGCAUACUAUCUCUGCAGAAAUUGUCUUCGGCCAGCAUCGAGGAAACAGAGUUCUCAUUCCAAGGAUACCAUUGCAAACUCCUGACAGCCAAAAGAAUUCGAUUGCAUUCAUAAGAACUCAGUUUCCUAUUCGACUCUGUUUUGCAUUGACCAUUAAUAAAUCUCAAGGACAAACUCUAGAUUAUGUUGGCAUUUACUUGCGAGAACCUGUCUUUUCUCAUGGACAGUUAUAUGCAGCCUUGUCCAGAGCUAGAACUUCAGCUGAGCUGAAAAUACUUAUUGUACCAGGAACUUUUGAUGGUAUAAAAACGGACUGCAAAACUAGAAAUGUUGUAUUCAGUGAAGUUUUUGAAUUGAGCCAGCAGUAGAAUGUCUUAUAUUCAGGUAUACUUGCACCGGUCUAUGGCUGUGUUUACUUAUUGCUAAUGUCUUAUGCAUACCCAACCUUGUGCAUUAUAAUCAUUUUACCUUCUUUUACAGAAAUGUCUAACCUCCUGCUGAUUGAUAAUAUCAUGCCUGAUAUGAAGAACUGGUCUUGUAUCAUCACAGUUCAAGAAAAGCAACAAGUCACAGAUUCUAUGGGAACACCGACCAAGAAGCAAAAGUUUAUCUUCUAUGAUUCAGAGGUAAAAUUUUAGAUCCUUAAAUGACCAUUAGCUAUUUAAUCUUUUAUUUGUUUGUCUAUCAUGUUUGUUAUAUGGAAAAUUUUUUUUUGCUUGAUGAUAGGGCUCUAAAGUUGAAGGGAUAAUCUUCAAUACUGAUAUUCCAAGGAUGAGUCCUAUGCUUCAGGUCUAUAAGAGAUAUAAAAUUUCAAAUGCUGAUGUCAGAACUAUUCCACCAAAGUUUCGGAGUGCUGGAUUAAUCAAACAGUGGGUUAUCACUUCAAAAACUGUCAUUGAAGAGGUUGAUGCCAAUGAGGACAUUAUGCCUGUUAAAUUUGCUUUCACUGACUUUGCUGAUUUAGCUGAAUACAUGGAUGAUAGAACGAAGUCCGUCGGUGAGUAUGCAACCAGGCUUGUCUAUCAUGUUUUUAUCACACAUCGCUCUGUUCUCAGCUUGCCUUCUCUCCCUUCGCAGAUGUCCUCGGAGUGGUGAUCAGUUCAUUAGCCAUGAAGACAAUCACUAGAAACUCCAAACAGUCAAACGUUCAGAAAUUUGUCAUCCUUAAUGAAGAGUAUGCAAUCUUUUUAUCAUACUGCACACUCUUUUGCUGACCUUAUCUCACUUUUCCUUUAUCUUUGAAUCAUUUUCAUCCUGGCCUUUAUAUCAAUGUUAGGUCUCAAACUGUCCUGCUAUCUUUAUGGGACGAUUUUCUGAACAAUGAAGGCCAAGCUCUGUUGAACAACAUGCAAAGCUAUCCUGUAAUUAUUGGUCGAAGACUGAGAGUUAACAACUACAAUGGUCUGUUCAAAUGCUGUCUUUUUUGUAUUAUAACCUUUACUUCUAGCUCGGUAUUCAUUUUGUUCUUUAUACUACAGGUGUUUCUCUCUCUACUUGGUUCGACUCUGCUUUGCUUGUUGAUCCACCGAUACAGGAAGCAAGACAACUCAAGAAUUGGUGCAAUGGCAUUAACUGACAUUUUCUUUUUGUACUUCAAUGUCACUUAUAUUUUUACACCAACUGAUAUUUUCCUUACAUCAUCUUUUUUUUUGGUAGGGCAAUGAGAAAUGCAGAGUCAAUUGCAGAGAUCGUUGAUGCAAAGAGCUACAUUAAAUACAAUCCUGCACUUUCUUUAAAAAGAGACCAGAAAACUACUCUGAUUUGCAAUGUUACCCCAUCACACAAGGUGAUCAAAUGAUAACCUGUUCUAUAAUUUUAUAACGUCGUAUCUAUUCAGUCUUUCACCUGAUAAAUGCCUAUCUUUUAGACUGCUUGGGUCAAGGCAAAUCUCUCCUUUGAACACAUCUUCCAGAAAUAUUGGUACAUGAGUUGUGCAAAAUGUUACCGAGCUACAGCGGCAGAUUAUGGAAUUGAAUUUACUUGUAAUUCAUGCAAAGAAAAGGGACCUGCUAUGCCUAGGUCCUGUAUUACUAAAUCACUGGCUUUAAUUCUGCUACUUAAUUUCUCUUAACCUUACUGUUACAGAGUGUAUAGCCUAACAGCUUGUAUACUUAUUUUCAGAUGCCGGUUUGACAUUGAAUUGAGCGAUGACAGCGGAGCUAUACCUGCUUCUAUUUUUGGAGAUCUAGCAGAAAAUAUUCUGACCUUUACUGGCCUUGAAGCAAUGGAUAACUUUAAUCAGGUUAUUUUAAUUCAUCGAAUUUAAUAAUAAGUGCAAUGUUUCCAUGUCACCCUUAUAGCUUCUUUGCUUCUUCCAGAAUCUUGAGCUGCCACUUGAGUUUGUUCAUGCACAGCUUAAAACAAAGACAUAUCUGGUUCACAUUAAGCCAGUCCAAACACAGCUCGCUGAUGCCAGACAGCGUUAUACAGUUCUAUAUUGCUCUGAACUUGAACCAAAAAUUGCUCGUCCUCAGUUAACACAUGAACCAGAAUCUGUCUCUCUUUCAGCUGACCAGCAGACAGAAAAUGAGCAGCUGUUGACACCAGGUUGAUGAAUAUACCUGGAAGAAUUGUGAUGCAUAACUAUGUUUUCUUUGACUGAACUAUUAACUUAGCUUAGCGUUGCACUUGCAGAACAUGGCAGCUCUAGCUCAAAAGUGCGCCUUCGGCUCAGUGAAAAGUUUGAUGAAACAGACACUGUUAGCACCAAUGACUUUGACAGUCCAGAUGCUGACUCUAAGAAGAAAGCAAAAUUAGUCUGAAUUGCCUUCGCUGCCUUUUUGAUUGCUCAGACAUAAAUAUUUUUUUUUGGUUUUGUGAUCUGCACUUGUAUGACUUUUGUUAAUGGCUUUUGUUAAUAGGCAGAUUGUUAAUGGCUUUUGAAAAUACUGCUCAUCCAUUCACAAUUCCCUGGCUUUUGUACGUGGUUAUCUACUAAACAGCUUUUGUCGUGAUCAUUGAACUUUGAUAAUGGCACCUGUAUCAAGGUUCUUGCCAGGUUUUCAAAGAUUAACUGAAAUCCUCCAUCUUAGCAGAACCAUGGGGAUUUUUACAGAUAUCUUUGGAUUCCUGACAAUGAACUCCCUUCCUGUAGAACUAACAGCUUUGUAAUCUAUACAAUGUGGGAUUCCUUUCCAUUUCGUUCUAUUUUCUGCAUUACAGUUGUUAUUAUCACUUUCGAACAACCAGUUCUGUGUACAUAGUUGUUCAUUUAUUACACAAAUUCUUGCCAGUUUUCAAAUAAAACUUAUAUAUUCUGUUCCUGCUGCUUACAUGUCAGACUGUCUGCUCCACUUAACAUGCCAAGUACACGAUGACUUAUAAUUUUCCCUUCAAACCAUUAAAGCACUACAAAUGCACAGCUAUAACAUGCUGUCAAUUGGCAGCUCGCACUUAAUUUCUGCCAUUCAAUUGUCUUUUCUAUUCAUUAUUUCUUACCAUCCUCUGCUGCAACUAAUUAAUCUUUUCAGCCGUGGUAGGAAAGAGCUUGAACUUAGCAUUAAAACCAAUGAAAAAUACACUCUUUUUGCAUUCAUCUUUUCUUUAUAUAUAUCCUCUUUAUCAUUUGCAAAAUCAUACAUAAAAACUGUCCACCAUACAUUUGCACUGGCACAUUUUCUGCACAAGAACUUGUCCACAGGUGAAUAACUCUGCGAUCUAUUUCUAGCACUCAUAAGAUAAUAUAGGCUUGUGCUUACAAUUUUUAUUAACAAGGCACUUUUCUGAUUUUUCAAUUCUUCAGUUUUCUUCCUUAUAGAUCAAUAGCAGAUGCAAUGUCUGUAUCUCCAGCGAAUUUUCCUCCGACAAAUAGCUGUUUACCAGCUUGCUGUUUUCUGCUCAAAUGCAUUCACAGAGGACAGGUUAACUUUUAGUUCAUGUUCACCUGCAUUGCGGCAUUUAUUGUUGAAUAGCAUGGUAUUCUCUGACAUUAUUUUCCUGUCUCAUUUUUUCAAGGUAUUACCAGCUCAGUUUGAAUUGUUGCUUCAUCAGCAUCACUGCAAUAGAAUCACUCUAAGGUUUGGACUACGGCAAUGGACCAUCACAGUUACUGAUCAUGCAUUCGGAGAAGGAUGGGAUGUUUUUUGUGAACACAACAUUGUUAAAAGACAUGACACGUUGUUACUUCGACAUAGCGGAAAUCUGAUAUUUGAUGUCAUUCACUUCUGUGAACUACAAAAACAAGUUUUAUUGCCCUGGACAGUUCCCCUGCCAGACCUGUUGCACUUGAAUAGCGUUGCAUCACGAGGUGAAAAUAUCACUGUAUCUAUCUCAUAUCCUCAUCCAUAUCAUACAUAGUUUUAAAUUUAACUCAUUAUCACUGAUUCCAGAUGAUAUCCAUGCACCUACUAGACACCAGCAAGUUGCUUCGUCACUCAGACCAAAUUUCUGCCAAGAUCUAUCUGAUUCGGUUUGCUUUUAUCAAAUAUUUAACUCUGCAACUCCAAACAAUUUGGUCAGCUAUUCCAUGUUUACCUGCAUUCUCUUUAUCAUCCCAACUUUCUUGCAAGCAAUUUCCUUUUGUUUCUGCAUAUCUUCUGAUCUCAACCUCUUCAUGACAGAAAAUUCCACGCUUUAUUGAUCACUUCAUCAAUGGUACCAAGACUCCGAUGUUGCUUAUCAAUACUGGAAACAAAAGUGCUCGGAUAGGUGUAAAGCAUAAAUGCCUUCACAAAAACUGGAGAGAUUUCAUUCUUGAACAUCAACUGCAGCACAACGAAACCCUUGUUUUUGUUCCGGAAUUUGAAAAUAUAUUUACGGCUUUGAUCUUCGACGAUACCGGAGUUGAAAAGAUUUUUCCUUGGUAUCACGCAUUCAAUAUUUGUUCAGAUGCUUGACGAAUUUAACUGAAUGUAAUUUACCUAUAAAUUAAAUACAUUACCGAUAAUUUCAGCUUCAUCUUAGCUACCCUAUACAGCUAUUGGCCCGUGAACCUUAAUACAUUACUUCUUGUUUGUAUUAAUUAAUAUUACAAAAUUAAUUACUCAGCUGGGCAUUACUGGGCAUCAUUACAUUCGCCCACCGCGCAUCGCGCGGUGAUCACCUCCUAGUCUUCUCCUAAAGCAACUUCCUCUUUUUAUGCGAUAUAUAAUGCGGAGGAUUAUUGGGUGGUGUUAACAAAUAGUGCCAUUUUUUUGAAAUUCUUAUUUUACCCUGAAGUCCCAAUUUAUUGCAAGACAACCUCACAAUUACAGCAUAAUUAUCAAUUCACAUUAUCCACAAAUCAUCACUCUCUCACUCCAACUCCCACUUUUAUGUAUCCCACUCAACUUCCAUUUUUUUCUCUCCGAAAGCAACUUCCUCUUUUCUACACCAUUAUCCGGAGGAGAAGUCUACUAAUUCCUAAUGGACGUAGAUAUGGUUUGAUACCAAUAUUUCAAAUAUUAAUAAAGGACUGUGAUAGAAAAUAAAAACUUUAUAAGGACAGAAUUUCAUAUAUGUACUUUUUUAUUAAUUGCACACCUAUUAGGGUGUGCCUUAAUCACUAGUUAUCAUUGUUUGAACUAACUCCAUUUUGUGCUUCCAAAUUUUUAUCACUUUUUUACUUUACAUCCUAAAAUAUAAUUUAUUAGAAUCGUAUAUUCUAAACUUUUAAGUUUAGACAGUUUAUAUCUUAAAUUCUCAAAUUGUCGCAUUUAAAUCCAAUUAAUGACAACGUUAGUAGAAUUAAUAGCAUGAAAACCUUGCAAAUUAACGAUAACUAGUUGAAAAUUUGAAAUUGGUCAAAAGGAACCAACUUAUCGCAAUUAGAACAAAAUGAUACAUUAUAAUUAAAGUAAAGUCAAAAAUAUAUAAAGUAACAAAAAGUAUUUACCCUAAACUCACAUCUCUGCUUUUGUAUAUAGUAUUGAUUUUAAGCAUGAAUUGCUUAAGUAUAGGAGAGUAGAUAAGUAAUUGAUUCACAAAACAACCUUGGAAGGGUGAGUUUAGAUCGUUAACUUAUCCCAAAUAAUAUUUCGCUUAUAUAAUAAACACAUUUUUUAAUUUAUUUUUUUGUAUUUCCAAUCACUUUUUUAUCUUGCACAUAACACAUUAUAAAAAGUAUUAUAGUAAUUAUUCAAAAUAAUAUCUUAAAUAAUAUCUCAAAUAAUGUACUCUAUCCAAAUAUGUGAUAAAAAAUUAAAUAUUCUUAAUAAUGAGGGUACAGAAGAAACUCAAAUGAUUACAUAUGUGAGUUCAGUAUGGUAGAACCGCUGCCACUGCUGUUCCCAUUUGUACAUUGCUUGUAUCAUUGUAGAGAAGAGGGGGCCCGGGUCCUCACCUUUUUUUUUUUUUUGAUAAAAAACAUCAUCAUUUCAUUAAAUUUUCAGUAAUAGUAGAAAUAACAUCAACCAUAUACAUAUCCAAAUACAUUUGAAAAAUAAUUACUUUAUACUAUGAAAUCUAUAUAAUAUUACAUUGAAGCUUCAAAAAAAUUAAAAGAUAAAAUACUCAUAAACCAAAUUUGCUAAUGAACUGAUUCAAAUCCAAAUGUUAAGAUGAUAUCUAACAAGGUAGAUCUAAAAAAUUUCAGAUCUAACAACCAAAUUUGAGAAAAACAUAAAUCUAAUACAAGAAAUAGACUAACUAUAAAAAAUCUCAUAAGAAAUCUAUAGUAGAGGAGAAAACUUUCACUAGAAAUCUCUAAAGAAGAAGAAAUUCUCAGUUGGAAAUCCAUAGGAGAGUAGAAAACUUUAGCUAAAAAUUCUUAGAAGUAAAGAAACUCUUAUUAGACAAUGUUAGAAGAAACUUUAUUGUAAACACAAAAAACAAUCACCUAAUCCAUAACAAAUGACGUACUUUUAAAGGUAUGAUCUAAUGCAGGUAUGCACUAAAAUACCCCGUUGGAGACUUCCUAACUAGCGGCCAAAAGAAUGCACAGGAAAUCCUGAAUAUAAUCAUCUCCCAGAAUGGCUUAAUUCUCUUGGGAAGAAUAUGAAUGUCUAACUUACAAUUGAUAUGUAAGUACAAAACACUCCCCAAAAAUUUCAAACACCAAUAAAAAAUAUUCAAGAGGUUGUUGAAUACUGCUGUUUAAUUUUUCAUUUAACUACUGAUGACCAUUUGUCAGUGUCUAUAAGUAUUUAGCUUAGCUUUAUUCUGUUCCCGAAAUUGGAUGGCCAUUGGGAGUGGUGAUAUGUUGUUUUCGGCCCUCACGUGACUUCCCGGCCCAAUGGUGACAUGUGUAACAAUCAAAGUGCUUAUCUCCUCUGACCACGUGUCAUAGCUCCGCCCCUACUUUGCAACAUUUGCACAUUAUAAUUAGGGUAAAUAACAUAUGACGCUCAUAUGAUUUUGCAUACCCUUUAAAAUUUUAAAAUAGCCAUAUAAUCUCUCUGUGAUUUUAUGUAAAGUGAAAAAUGAAUGGAUUACAUAAUUAGUUACGAUCGACAUGUGUUUUAAAAGUGUGUACGAUAAAAUAAUAAUUUCCACUUAAUACCCCUAUGAUUUGUAUAAAUAUUCACUUUAUCCUCCAAUAUUUUUACAUUCAUCCAUGUAACCCCUGUAUGAUUUUGUAUAAGGUGGCAAAGUCGUCGUUUGAUUUAGCAUUCAAGUAAGGGCAUCACUGGUAUUUCAACUAAUGAUAUUAAAUAAACUAUUUUCCAUUAAAUUUGUAGUUUACAUCAAACUAUAAGGAUGUGAAGUGAAUAUUUUGAAAUGUUAAGGGGUUAUAUGACAAUAGAUGAAACUGUAGGGAGGUUAUUAGUAAUUUAUCCUUAUAAUUAUAAGUUAUAUAGCUUCGUGCAUGUAAUUAUAGUCAAAGAGGUUAUUUUAUAUGAUGGUUUAUGUUACGUGACCAUUAAAUGUGUAAUUACAAGCUAUAGAGAAGUUUAAUGAUGAAAAGAAAAGAAUGAGAGAGAGAGAGAGAAUGAAGAACAAAUGUUUUUAGGAAAAGGGAGUGUCUAAAAUCAUGUUCCUUGGGUUUACAUUUAGCUUGGGACAUUCUUUUCAAAAAAAACAAAGAGAAAAAAGAAAAAAAAAAAUCAUGUCGUUAUCUGACGUGGUUUAGGAAAAGAACUGACACAGACUCAGUACAAUUGUGUUCGUUUCUUAUAAUUUAGCUAACAUGAAAGGGUGGAUGGAUGACAAAACUACCUUAAUAAGGAAUCAAUAGUGUUAGUCCUAAUUUAGUUAACAUGAAGAGUAUAAAAGUUAAUCAAUUAAUAAAACAACUUUUUAAAUUUCAUGCAGUAGGUAAAGCUUACAGCAAUAAACAACAACUACUUGGCAAGUAUCAUGAAAACAUGAGCACCAUGUCAUGAUACUCCUGUUCAUGGAAGCAAUACCAGCUCUAUGCUAGUUGAGGGUGAAGAAAUGGUCUACUGGAGAAGCCACAAGAGGAAGAAACCACUUCCAAUCAAUGCAUAAAUUUCUUCUACUCAAGAGUUGCUAAAUUUCCUUGCCUUCUAUUGAAGCUAAAAUUUCAUCCACACAAACAGCUUACCAAGGAAAAUCAUCCUGAGUUCCCACCUUGGAUGACAUUGACAGGUUCGACAAUAAGUAUGGCAGACUUAAUCUUGAACACGCAACAUUAGAUGUACAAUCCUAUGCUACAGUUACAUUGCUAACAUUAUAUACAAUCCCUGUGGAAUGGCAAUGAUGAUGCCAUUCAGAUCAAGUGAUACUCUUGGUUCCCCGCUUUCUUAAAGGUAUAUCGCCGACAGUAUAUCUCAUAUAACAUACUUAAACCUAUUAGACAAAGCAAUGAAAGACCUUUAAUCCUGUUCAUCUUGUCCAGGAAGAGUUUUCUCUUUUUUAUCUUCUUUUCCAGGACCAUAAGCCUUACUACAAAUAAGGAAAUAAAUCAUGUUAAGCAUGCUUAAGCCAGCAAGAACCCAAUAGUAAUAAUCAUAGUGACCCUUAUUUAUGUUGGUUGAAAUCCAGCUUUCUUUUCCCCCUCGUUUUAAGAGUUUGUCAAUGAUGUUCAUAAGAAAACUUGCUACCAAAUUUGCCACAGACGUCUCAAGUAAGAACAAAGUGGAAGCUAUACUUUUCAUGCUUCUGGGAAACUCAGAAUAGUAGAAUUCAUUUUGUGCAACUGCACUUGAGGCUUCUGCAAAGCCAAUCAAGCAGUGUUUGUUUGGAUUGUUUCAUAUUUCUCCAAUUUUAUUUGCUUACAUCAUCUUUACAAUUUUCAAUACACCUUUUUAUCUUCCCAAUAUCUUUUUAUCUCACAUACAUCACAUCACAAAAAGUGCUACAGUAAAAAUAUCUCAAAUAAUCCCAAAUAACUUACAAUCCAAAGGAAGAAGCCAAAGAGCUGACAUGUCCACCACUGCUUCUGAAGCAUCUGAAUAUCCUUCCCUGAUUGCCAGAUUACGCCGUUUAGCCUCCACAGUUGCUGUCACUACCAUGCAUACGAAAGACAGGAGCAUUCCAAUUGCCAUUCUUUUCCUCGCUGAGAGAUGAACAUGUUUCCCCAUGAUUUUGGAUGCAAUAGGCAGGAAUACGCGGUCAUAAAGAGCAAUCCAUAUUAUGAUACUGAUUAUGGUAAACAUGCCAAAAGAACCGGCUGGUAUUUCGAAGCUUGAACCAAACCUCCGGUUCAUGGAAUUUGCUUGAAGUACAGGAAAUGAGUUCUGGCUAAUAUUUACCGACAUUAUCAUUCCUGUUGACCACAAGGGAAUCACUUUGAGAAGCGUCUUAAGGUCCUCAACUUGAUUUAUUGUGCAAAGAGUCCAGGGAUCUGCUGCCCUUCCAUCUGUUGUCAAGUCUUUCUCAGGAUCUACUAUGAUGCAGGCUUUAUUUAAGAACCUUGAAAGACAAAUCAUUCAUGUUUUCAUAAGAGAUCAAUGAACCUAUAACAAAAUAGGAACUUGUCUUUUGAAUAUUUUGCUUUCAAACAACUGUAAAGAAGCAUUCUCAGAGUCAAGAACAUUAUAACAAAUGUUGAAUUCACCAUCAGAUGAAAAUAUAUAGCAAUAGUAAUUGCAAACCCAUUUCAGCUAACAAAGACAGGUAACCUUGUAUAAGGUGGGGCUAAGAACCUAAAAUUAUUCAUAAUUUCUUAUACAUGGAUCAAGAUUGUAUUUGUAAAAUCCCCUAGUCUCAGUCUGACUCCUCAGAACGAAGCUAUUCAAUUUGGAUAAGAGAACAUUAAGAUCAAGGGAAGACUUCUGUAAAGGUGAAUAUAGACUCACCUUAGUUUUUCACUUGGAAGAAUCGAUGAACCCUUCUGGUGAUGGUAUAUCAUGUUUGAGCUCUCUGUCGAUAGAUCUAUAUGUCGUUUUCUACAAGAGGCAACAGCCACUUGAAGCAAUUCAACAAUUAUGGUUGACUUAGCCUUCAAUUUGACGUAACAGGGUGAAGCCAGGGAGAAUGACAGAGCUGAAAGGAACAUGAGAAUGACUGGAAUGCCAAAACCAACUUGCCAUCCCAUCUUUUCUUGUACAUAGACAAUGCAAGUUGAAGCAAUUAAAACAGAAAUUGUGCAUGAAGCAUAGUACCAGCUGAAAUAGCUCUCAAGAAUCCAUCCAUUCCUGCGUCCACCUGCUUUUUUCAACUGAUCAGCACCAAAAGCCAAGGAUGAAGACCUAGUUCCUCCAGCUCCAAUAGACAUAAGUCCAAAACAAGAACACAAGAGAAAGAGUUGCAAAGUUGUCGCAGAGCUACAAUUAUUGCUGGAUUCAUCACAUGGAGGCGGCCUUGUUUGGGGAAUCAUAGUUGUUAACCAUAAAAGAGCCAUACCCUUCAAAGUAAAAAUUCAUUUUCAGAUAAUUCAGUUAAAAUUAGAAAUACUAUCGUAAAUUUAAAUAACUAUGUAAUCCUUUCCACUGUAUUACUUAUCAAUAGUGUUUUGUUUUCCAACAGCAGCUGAUUAAAGUCGUGCAUCAAGCCAUCAACAAAUGGAGGCAUGAAGAAAUAUACAGAGGAAUUUAACCUCUUUAUGAUUGACUAGAAUGAUGUGCAACAAAUAAUCUUCUAAAAACCAGGGGCUCUUUCUCAGUUUUCUUUAUUGCACGUUCAACGGAGCAAGAUUUGUAACUGAAACUAAAUUUCAAAGCUCUUGUACGCACGGAGAAACUAAUGGCCUCAAGAAAUUUUUCGGAUGCCAUAUAUGGAUGGAAUCCUAUAAAUGAAGAUGAUUAUGGAGUUCAACCCCUAGAUUCUAGACGAGCUAACCUAAAAUGAGAGUUGCUAGAUGCAGACAAUAAUUCGAAAACAUGCCUUAUCUGCAAUUGUGUUACCAGCUUCAUGUUUGAACUAUGUUGUUUCUUAAAUGAAAUGAUCAUCUGUGUUGAUAAACAUGGGUUAGAAUCUAUAGAAUUUUGUCUCCAUCUGAAGACUACAACGUAAAAGAUGAUGUUUUCCUUCCUCCUUUUUAUUGAUAGAUUACUAUUUUUCGCCUGUACUCUCGCUCUACACAAACAAAAUAGCAGGGGAUGCUUGCUUAAAAGAGUCAGUCCAAUUUUACCAUACAAUUUCGGGAUGAAAAUCUUGAUGGACGAAAAUCCAAAAAUGACAAGGCAAAAAUCAAUUUGUACCUCAAUGAAUUCUAGCGUUAGGAAAAAUUAAACAUGGUUAAUAUUAAAUGUUGAUUACCAGCAAAGUUUGAAAUUGGAUUUUUACCAGAAGGCUGAAAACACAUCCAAAUAAGAUCAUCCGAAAUCGACCCACAAAUAUAUCUGCAACUAUAGCACUCAGAAGGGGCUUGAAAUUUGUUGCUGCCGACCAAAGAAAGAUUAUGUUGGAACCAGUAGUCAUCUUCAAAUGGUACUCUCUUGUCAAGUACAGAAUCAUGUUGGGCUGUAGUCCAUAGCUUGCCACCUGCUCAAAAGACUCGUUUGCUGCCCCCCCAAAAGAAAACCAUUUAAAAUCACGAGAACUAAAUCCCAUUAGCAAAUUAUUUUUACUCUGCCAAAUCAUCAGUAAACUUCAAUGAAACAAAAUUACGUAAAAUGUGUGAAUCGGAUAUAGCCCAAGAAUAAGGCUUUAGUUUCUUUUGUUCAGAUGAGAUUUCGGUCCAUCCCUCCUCAUAGAAAUUUAAGGCAAAAAAAGAAAAAAUGUUACCUAAAAUGAAUGGGAUGGUUCUGAAGCCACCCUUUGCUGAAGAACUGUUAUUAUCAUCAUCAAGUAAAGGCUUUGUGAUCGUGUUUCCAUUUUCAUCAGCUGAAUUCUCCAUCAUGUACAUAUGUGGACUUCUGCUUCUUCUCCUAUUACUGUAAUGAAAUGUGUCAAAUAUAUACUUUGAUCCUGCUUAACAAACAGAAUUAGAGUAUCGAGCAUACGAUGCAUGAUAUUUUUUUUUUUUUUUUUAGUAUUUGCUGCUGGUAGCCCAUAAGAUCAUUCAAAAGAAGAAAAACAGUGAUUGGGCCAGACAUUUGAUCUUACUUACACUCCAACGUUCUGGGGAGCAAUGAAUGUGACUGGACCAGCCAUCAUAAUACGUACAUUGUCGUGUUUUCACUUUUUAAAUGUUUUAAAGUUAGAGUCACAUUUAAAAACAAAUAAAUUAUUCUUAGCUUUUUUACUUUUUCUAUUUGAAUAUUAAAUUUAGGGUCAGUAUGAAUUAAGUGUUUUUAUUAUAACAUUGUAUUUUUAAACAUUUUAUUGUAUAAUUAUAUUUUGGGAUAUUUUUAAGUUAUUUUUUGGUAAUUUUGUUACGUGUACUUUGAGGUGUACUUGGAGUGUUUUGAGAUAUGUUUUUUAUUAUGUUUGAAAAACUAUUGCUCGAAAAAAAGUCCAAAUCCAAACAGACCAUUACUUGUCCAGUUAUACUUUUUUUUUUUUUUACGGAAACGUUAAAACUUAUAUUGAAAUCAAAGCAAGCUAUACAACUUGAGCAACGGCCCAUGCGGAGCUUUACAAUUGUGUCAUUUGACACUGAGGACUUAGAUAUUCCUCAUCUUGCACUAAAGUAGUAGCAUACAUGCUAAUUCUUCUACCUAAACCAUUACACUGAUUGCCAGCCAAGCUAAAUGAGCAAUUCAUAAACAAAGCUUUGAGCAUGUGGAUAUCCUCUAGAUGAGCAAAAAGUCUAAUAUCACGAGUCUUGUUUAUUCUCAAAAGUCGCAGCAUCUGAAGGGAAGGAACCAGCAAAUUUACCUUUGCCCAAGGCAGUUGUCUUACCUUGACCAACGCUAACUUGAUUGCUGUAGCGUAGUCCAGCAAUGUGUCUCAUGAACUUCUGUCCGUCAAGGCCCAUGCUGCAUGCACAUUAGUUCCUUGUUGAGCCAUUAUGCCUAUACCUAAUGGCUUCCCUUCGUUUGGAUGAUUGAUGUCCACUGUAACGAGCAUCAUGUUACUGUCCGCACUACCGUUCUGCUGCUCUUCUAUCCUUGCCGUUGUUUCUAGAUUGCUCAUUUGCUGUUGUCCACGGAGCACUUCAAUGUAUUCGAUCCAUUCGAAGUGAGCUUUCUGUACAAUUUCAAAAGGGUGACGACAUCUAUUGUUAAAAAUCUUCUCAUUCCUGGCUUUCCAAACUUGCCAAAGAAUGUUCACAGUAAGAGCCUGGUGCUGAGCUCCUUCUUUCCUACUUGUUGCCUCCAUGAAUCCACUCCACCAUUUGUUGAAGUUCCCUCUGUGGUCAGCAAUGCCAUCCCACUGUAUUGGUGCCAACCCUGUUCUUCUUUUGUACUUGUCCAGUUAUACACUCAUAGAAUUUUAGUGUGAGAGCCUUGUUAUAAAUUUAGGGGAAAAUGCACUUUUCAUCCUCAAAGUUUGUGGGGUUGACCAAUUUCAUCCUCAAAGUUUAACCCCAAACAUAUUUCAUCCUCAAAAUUCCUCAAAGUUUGCGGGGUUGACCAAUUUCAUCCUCAAAAUUUAAUCCCAAACACAUUUCAUCCUCAAAAUUCCAUAAUUUUGACCAAUUAAGGACAAUUGACAGGAAUUGGAGGACAAAUCAAAUAGGAAAAAAUGCACUUUUCAUCCUCAAAGUUUGUGGGGUUGACCAAUUUCAUCCUCAAAGUUUAACCCUAAACAUAUUUCAUCCUCAAAGUUCCGUAAUUUUGACCAAUUAAGGACAAUUGACGGGAAUUGGAGGACAAAUCAAAUAUUGGGACAGAACUUUGCACGUGAGAAGCACAAUUCGUCAGAUCCAACUUUAUACCCAACAUAACCGGGUCAAACCUAAUGGAUCCACUUUUUCUAACGGACAAAAAACACAAAAUAGCAAAAGGAAAAAAGCUCCUGUCUUCUCCUUCUUUCUUCUCCGUUCUUAGCCCUAAAAAUUUUUUUGGCCAAUCGUUUCAUCCAUUUUUCGAGCAUCUGCUGGUAAGAAGGAAGGCAUAGACGGCAUCCGUGGAGCAUUUUAGGUGAAGAAAAAAAUGGUAUUGCGGAAGAAAGAGCUCCACAUUUGUCCACCUCCAAAUUACGGUAUUUAUACCCAAAAUCAAUAGCUACAUUGCAUAAAGAUAUCUGUUUUUUUGGAGAAGGAAACCUGAUAUGUGGUCUCUUGUGUUUGUACUUUUUCCCCACUACAAUUUACGGCUAUUUUUUUUUUCAGAUCUGGCCAUUUGCAUGAGGUAUAAAUAAAUCAAAAAAUUUGUCUUGGUUUGAUUAUUAUAGUGUGAAUGUGGUCCCUUAUGUCUGAUGAUAGUUGCCGCUUGACUAUAAAUUUGUGAUGAGAGUGAUUAAUAAACAAUAAUACUUGGUAUAUUUUGCCGGCCAUGUGUAUCUGACCAUGUGCAUGGAAAAAGUGAAAGUGGUCCUUGUUUGGUAGUUUUUGUGUGGGUCAACAGUUUGUUGUGCUGAAAUGAUAAAGCUUUUUUUUUUUUUUUUCCCUAAAGAGUCUGAUUUAUAUUAUUUUCUUUAAUCAAAAACGGGUAGCACAUUUAUUACAUUAAGAUGUCACCAUGGAGGCCUCAUUUCAUAUACUCCUGAUCCCCAUUACGAAGGUGGAGAUUUGUGUGUUUUUGACUAUGUUGAGAGUAUAGGUCUAAGUGUUUUCGAAGUGGAUAGAUUAACUGAGAGUGCUGGUGUAUAUGGUCAUAAGGUGUACUAUGGUUGGGAAAAUAACACCUUUAGGAGGAUAGAAAGCAGUAGGGAGUUGAAUGGUUAUGUUAAGGGGGAGGUUGGGCCAACUAAGGAAGUUAACUUAUAUCUUGAAGUAUCUUUUCAUGAAAUUCUAGUGCAACAACUUGGUUAUGAUCCGUAUGAGAUAGAUGAGACAGAAAAUGAACUCCAAAAUGGUGAUGGUAACAAUAAUAUUAGGGAUGAAGGUCAAGGAAGGUGUGCUGCUAAUAAUUGUGAUAAUGAUUCCAACGCAAGUGAUGAGACUUUUUUUUCAGCUAUUGAUUCAGAUUAUGAAAUAGACGAUGAUGCUGAUGAUGGUAUAUUUCAUGAUAAUGUUGACAAAAAUACUGAAUGGUUGGGAGUAGACAAUCACAGGAAAGAAAAUGUGGUUCCUGAUCCUUUGAAUGAAACAGAGAAGGUUCCUGAUUCUGAUGAAACAGAAUAGGUUCCUGAUUCUGAAUCUGAUUUUGAAAGCAUUCAUGAGUCUGAUGAUGAAGAGUCUAAAUUGAGGUCUCGUACUUUUGAUCCUAAGCAUAUUGACAAUCCAAAAUUAGAGCUGUACAUGUCCUUUACAAGUCUGAAACUUUUCAAGACUGCCGUACAUAAUUAUAGUGUGAAACAAGGCAGGCCUUGUAAGUUUGUGAAACAAGAUAGAGUGAGGGUGAGGGCUAGAUGCAGAAAUAGUGAAUGUAAUUGGGUUAUAUAUGCUAGAAAAUUAAGUGGGGAUGAAACUAUUCAAAUAAGAACAUUUGAAGAUAAUCACACAUGUGAUUUUACAUAUGAUAACUCUCUUGUGCAUUCUGGAUGGGUAGCUAAGAAGUACUGUGAAGAGUUUAGGUGUAAUCCUAAAUUAGAUUUGGAGCAUUUUAGGAAGACAGUAAUGAAAGAAAAUAUGUGCUCCUUCACAAAAAAUCAAACAUAUAGGACAAGGAGAAAAACAAUGAAAAUCGUUCAGGGCAGUGAAAAAGACCAGUACAGCAAAUUAGGAGUUUAUAUGCAUGAAAUUCUAAGAUCCAACCCUGGUAGCACUGUUAUAAUGAAAACUGUUGAUGGUUUUAAAGACUCAAAAACAGGGAAAGGCAGAUUUGAGAGGCUGUACAUCUGUUUUGCUGGAGUGAAGCAUGGUUUCCUAACUGGAUGUAGGCAGUUUAUUGGAGUAGAUGGUACUUUUUUGAAAGGAUCAGUAGGAGGAGUUUUGCUAGCAGCUGUUGGAGUUGAUGCCAAUAAUGGCAUUUUUUCAAUAGCAUAUGCUGCAGCAGAGGGUGAAAGUAAGGACUCAUGGUGCUGGUUCUUCAAACUAUUGAAAGAAGAUUUGAAGAUUGAAAAGGAUUAUGAGUGGACAAUAAUGAGUGACAAACAAAAAGGUCUAAUUGAAGCAUGUGAUAUGAUUUUCCCAAAUGCAGCCCACAGAUUUUGUGUGAAACACUUGCACAAUAACUUUUCAUCUGUUGGGUUCAAAGGAGAAGGUUUGAGGAGAGCGUUAUGGACUGUUGCCAAAGCAACAACACCAGCCCAAUUCAUUAGCAGAAUGGAAGCAAUGACUGAAAUUGAUAUAGAGGCAGCCAAGUGGUUUGAUGACAAACCACCAAGUCAAUGGAGCAGAGCUUAUUUUAGCACUCAUCCUAAAUGUGCUAUGUUAUUCAAUAACAUUUGUGAGUGCUUCAACAGCAAAAUUCUUGAUGCUAGGGAGAAGCCAAUAAUUGAGAUGUUUGAAGCAAUACGAUUGUACAUGAUGCAGAGAAUGCAAAAAAAUAGGGAUCUGGCCAAAGAGAAGUGACAGACUUAUCCUUACUGCCCCAGAAUUCUUCACAUUAUGCAGAAAAAUAUAGAUAGAGCACCUGACUGUUUUUCAUUCAAGUCAAAUGAUGAUCUUUAUGAAGUCAGUUGCCCAUAUGGUGACCAAUAUGCAGUGAACAUCAAGGAGCAAACAUGCUUUUGCAGAAAAUGGGAACUAACAGGUAUUCCCUGUCCCCAUGCCAUUGCUGCAUUGUGGAUGGCUAAAAAGGAUCAUCUGCUAUAUGUUUCAAAAUGGUAUACAGUGGAGACAUAUAUGAAGUGCUAUGAAGGAUCAGUGUAUCCCAUGAAUGGAGAAAGUGAAUGGGGGUUUACUGAUGUUGGUGAAGGUCCUUUGCCACCCUUAUAUGGGAGAGCACCUGCAAGGCCUAAGAAGCUGAGAAGGAGAAGUGCAGAGGAGGUUCAACAAGUCAAGGAAAAAACUAAGAAGAAGGUGACAAGAGUGGGACAGAUUAACAAGUGUAGAUACUGUCAUCAAAGGGGACAUAAUAUGAGGUCCUGCAAGCUUCUCAAAGAUGCUCAAGAUCCUGCAGUUGCAGAAACUGAUAUUAGUUCAAGCCAAGUUGCUGCUUCUACCAACAAUCCAGCUAGCCAAGAUGGAAAAAAGGUUGUAAGUUGUUUUGAUGACUUGUUAUAGCUAUCUUUGCUAUUUGGUAUAUAAAUGACAUAUUUUCCUUUUAAACUGUAGGGAACAAAGAAAACCAAGAAGCCUGUUGCUGAGUCUUCAAAUAAAAGGGUAGAAAAAUCUGCUGCAUCUUUUGAUUUUUUUGUCUUUAUGCAAUUUGACUUUUGCUACCUCACUGUUUUGUGCAGAAGAGGCAUAGACGUACAAGAAGAGUUGCAGCUGCAGUUUGUAAUGAUGAUUCAAACACUGAACAUCAACAGGAUAUUGAGCCACUGGUUGAGAUUGAGAUAACAUCCUCUGCCCCAGAUCAAGUAGACCAGGAUAUGUACGAAGUGUUUGGGCUGUCAAGGUCUCAAGUGAAAUAUAGCACCAAGGAAGCCAGAACACAAACUAAAAAACAAGUACAGAUGCCCUUCAGAAUUAGAGAUGUUCAUAUGCAUGUUGUUGCUGCUGCCAAGGCAGAUUUAAGUGUUCCUAGUUCAUCUAGAUUGAAGGGAAAGGAGAAACUACUGUAAUAGGAGAAACAACAUGCUGAAUUUUCUUCAAGCCAAGCUGUUUUUGUUCAAGCCAAGUUGCUACUUUUGUAAUUAGUGAAUGACUUUUGUUGUUUCAACUUUUGCCUUGCCUAGUAAUGAUGGAAGUGCAGGCUGUAAUGUGAUAGCUGGCUUUAUUUCAUUUAUGGACCCAUGUUCAACAACAGUCAUGUAGUUUGCUUUAUUUCAUUUGGAAUGCACUUUAAUUGUAUUGAAGUUAUGAUAUACAUAUAUGGCAGCUGUUUUCAUGUUCAUUUGUUUGUAUUAUUUGCAUUUAUUUUUCAACUUGGUUUAUCAGUACAUGUGGGACAAUCUUGGUUUAUCAGCUUAGUUGCCAGCUUGGUUUAUUUGCAUUUGUUUUCCAGCGUGGUUUAUUUGCAUCUGUUUGUAUUAUCAGUACAUGUGGUUUAUCAGUUCAUGGCUGUUUUAUAUAUAUGAUAUGAACAACACUUUGACAAGAACCAUUUUUUUACACUCAACGCAUAGCUUUACAAACAAAAUAAAUUGCAGAGUUCAUAAAUUGCAUUGUUGCCAAAUACAUUUCCCUUCCUAAAUCUCACCUUUUACAUAAAUUGCAGAGUUCAUUUGGAGCCUUUGUACAAACAAAAUAAGUCCCUUUCUAUACCCUGUAAUUGGAUAUUACUUCAUAGGGAAAAAUGCAACUCUCGUUCCAACAACAAACACAGCCAGCUUCAAAAUGUUCUUCUGCAAUUUUAGCAAAAUCACCCCAGUGUUAGCAGCAACUUACCUCCCUUUACUUUUCCUUCGCCUUUACUGCUCCAACUCAGUACUAGCAAAACCACCAAAAGCACAAUUAUCGUAAUAAAAAAUUUCUCCCUCUUAUGCAUUCUUUCAACUUGUUCUUCCAUUUUGUUAAUCUUUUUCAGCAAACUAGGAAUGAGAACUCUCCCUCUUGGACAAAUUGGCUCAUCAACCCAUUCGAAGUACCUGUAUCUCUCGGGUCUCUGCUAUAACAAUAAUGACAUUUCAAAGAAAUUAGUUAGCUAAAUUAACACAUUGAAGGACCAACAUUUUUAGACAAAUAUUUCUUACCGGCCACAGAGAGCAACCAAGGAAUCUUCUUCCGGGAUUCUCGCCGCGCCAACAGGUGCUCAUUUUUGUUCUUAACCCACAGUUGCAGAAUGGAGUCGAUGAACCACUGGAGACUUCAGAACUUCUGCUCCUCAUUUAGGCAAAAAUGAGAGCACAGGGAGCUCCACUGCCAGAUGCUCUGAGGAUGAAAUGUUUAAAGCUGCAAAGAUUGGCAAAAAAAUUUUGGGGUUCAAAGGCAGAGGGAAAAAGGACAACAAUGAAGCUUUUCGUCCGUCCGUUGCAUUUGUUCCUUUAAAGUUAGCUCCAUUUGGUUUUACCCAUUUUUGUUGGGUAAAACCGUUGGUUGUAACGGUCAAUUGGAUAUUUCCCGUCAAUUGUCCUUAAUUGGUCAAAAUUACGGAACUUUGAGGAUGAAAUGUGUUUGGGGUUAAACUUUGAGGAUGAAAAGUGCAUUUUUCCCUAAAUUUAGCCACAAACAUCUCAUUUAGAUGUAACGAUUAUAUAUUCGGUGCAAAAAUUGAAUGCUCAAAUUGACUCAAAUUAUGAGAUGGUGGAAGUAACACUUUCUAAAUCAUCCAUAAGUAUUGAAUAACACAUUUGCUGCUGCUCUUGGACGCUGCCAAAUUUCCCGAAACAAGCUCUGGUCAUAAUUCACCCGAAACAUACUUUCAAAUAGAUAUUGUUGAAAGGAGGAAGAUGCUUUUGAGAAGGGGUGAAUUGUGAGUGAUUUUUUGGGGAUAAUGAGAGGGUAUGGUGGAGAUGAUGACAAGAGGAUAGAGCUUGUUAGGGUUUUAGGUUUUUUUUUUCCAUGAUAAAUCGUGAUUUUGUGAGAGAGUUUUUAUUUUAAUCGGUUUUGAUUAUAGAGAUUAAGUUUAUCCGCCCGGUUAAUCGAUUAAUUAACUUAACAUGGUCCGAGUUGGGUUGUUUCAGGGUUUGGUUUAUCAAGGGACACUUGGCAAAAUUAGAAGGAAUGGGAUAGGAUGAAUGUGAAACAGGUGUGGCACAGAAGAUUCGUUGUAGUUAAAUGCAAUGGUUAGUUAAGCAGAAUUUUAGUUCAUGGGAAUUGCUUUAUUCAGUUUCUUGGCUAUAAAUUUUGUAACUCAGAUAACUCAUUGGUCAAGUGGAAGCCAAGUUGAACUUUAAGUUGAUAUUCGAGUGAUUAGCCAACUAAAUUCAAUGCAGCAAGUGUUUUUAUUAAGCUCAACUCUAAAAUUCAUGUGUUUGAAGAUUAAAUUUAUAGAUGACUGAGACCAUUAUCAUCAAAUAUAACCAUGCAUUGCGAAGAGGCAAAACUACAGAGUAUAUAACGUAAAGUGGAGUAAGGGAAAAAAAAUCAUCCAAAAUACAGGGAAAAAAAAGAUAAAUGCAGAAUCAUGUCUCCACAUCUAAUAUAUAUGUACUUUUUUUUUUUUACUUAUCAUCAAGUGCAUUGAAGCCUCAUGAUGUAGAGGUUCUGAAUUCAAAUUUUUCUUCUCGCUUCUUAAAUCCUACCAUACACUAUUGAAAAAGUUUUUUUUAAACAGAGCAUCAUGAAAUAUAACUUCUAGAAAUAACAACUUUAAGACCAUAGGUCUACUUACAUGCAUGUAAUUAUGAAACUACAGAGUUGAUUGUGUCCAAAAAAAAAAAAAAAGAAGGAAAAAAUCCAUAAUUAAAUUGCAUACAAAUAUUGAGGUAAUAACUUUGAUGUUUGUGGGCUGCCAAAAUAAACAUGAAAAACCAUUGCGGUAAAUUAAUAUAGAAAAUGUUGAAAUAAAAACUUAAAUUAGUGGAGGUCUAGUUGGUAUAGUGGUGUAUUACUUGUAUAAUAAGAAAGAUGACUUCUAGAAAACACGUGCAUCAUGUGUUUUUCUUUAUUAUGGCUGUGGAUGAAGCCAAAACUUGUGGUCAACUAGAUUAAGAAUUCUGCUGAGAUGUAUGCAAAGAAAACAAUAAAAAUUCUAUUGUUGAACAAAACAAUAAAAUUCAGCUGAGAUUCAUGCAAAAAAGAGGAAAUUAGGAAAGAAAAUAGGCAAAUCAUCGAUUGUGGAAUACUCAUGGUGCUAAGAGUAAUUAGUCUUCUUUGAAAUAAAGAGAAAACAUAGAAGAUGUUCCAAUUGCAACUGUAAUCAAGAACCAAAUGCAGCAACCUGAGAAAAAUUCCUAAAACGAUAUGAGGCCGGAAACUUUGCCACAAGGUUAGCUAAAGAACAGCGACACUCAUAGAUGAAACUGGAAAAAUUGCCCGAGGAAGUGGCCGAGGCGAAAUGAAAUUUAUUGCUGCUGUGCAGAAAAUGAUAGUGUUGCUGGCAGCACUGCCAUAUCCAUAUGAUAAACUCUCUCCAAGUAUACAAGUUUUCUCUAUCUGGAUCUAAACUCUCCUCCUUCUCUCUAACUUUUCUUUUCCAAGAGCAAGGAAGGCCAAUUGGUCUCCUUUGAUCUUCCUCCCUUCCAUGUCUUUUUUUCUUUUGUUUUUUGUAUUUAUAAUAAAGUCUCUCCUAGAAUUUUUAGUGAGAGUUUCUUCUCUCUUAGGUCCAAACGAGAGUUUUUUCCUCUUCUAAAGUUUCCCAGUGAGACUUUAAUUUCUCUUAAUAAUUUCGAGUAAGAGUUUUCUCCUAUCCUAGAAAUGAAAGCUUUUAUAGUUUUUCUAUUUCUUAUAUUAUAUCUAAGUUUUUUCAAAUUUGAUGGUCGAAUCUGAAAUUUCUUAGAUCUAACUAGUCAGAUCUUACCUUAACAUCAUUUGAAACAAUUCAUUCGAAGAUCUAGAAGGAAGCAAGCAAUACCGUCAGAAUUAUACACAAAUGAUCUUGGAGUUAUAAGUGUUUUAUCUAUUUUAAUAUUUUUAGAGUUCCACGAUGUAAUACUGGAUUGAUUUUCUAGAUCAAUGGUAUCGACUAUUUGGUCAAGUAUUUGUUUUUCAGAUGUAUUUCAGAUCUGUUUGUAUCUAUGUAUGGUUAAUGAAAUUUCUACCAUUAAUACAGAUUUAAUGAAAUGAUGAUGUUUUAUCCAAAAAAAAAAAAAAUCUUUCCUAGUACAUAAUUAUGUUUGGUGAGAGCCCAGAAGUUGCAAAUCCAAGAAAAGCUUUUUUUUGGUCAAAUUUUGAUUAACAAAAUGUUGAAUAUUAAUUGAGGAGUAAUAAUGAAAAAAAAGUUUCUUUAAUGGUGGAUAUUUUUUAAUCAAAUUACAUUUUUCUUAAACUGCGUGCAAAAUUCAACAUGACAUAUAAAAUAAACUCCCUUAAAGUGGCAGACUCGCUAUCUUAAAUAUGUAAACAUUGUGUUGUAGGAGUAUUCAUGUGCCAAUUGCCAAUAGCAUCAGAUCUAGAGAUACAAAUCCUAUACAUCGAUGACAUUGCUAACAACACUAGAUCAGCCUGACCUUCGUUACCAGCCCUGCGCAAUGACAUUGAUGAAAUCAUACAGGUCAACUGAUCUUUUUGAUUCCCAGCCUUAUGCAGGUAUAAUGAUGACAAUCUAACAUAUGCUUGAAGGACCACCCACUCUAGUCAUCCUGUUUUGCCAGGACCAUAAGCUUUGCUGCAAAUGAGGAAAUAAAUCAUGUUAAGCAUACUUAAGCCAGCAAGAACCCAAUAGUAAUAAUCAUAGUGACCCUUAUUGAUGUUGGUCGCAAUCCAGCUUUCUUUUCCUCCCAGUUUUGAGAGUUUGUCAAUCGCGUUCAUAAGCAAACUUGCAACAAGAUUUGCCGCAGACACCCCAAGUGACAACAAAGUGGAAGAUAUACUCGACAUGCUUCUGGGGGACUCGGAAUAGUAGAACUCAUUCUGUGCAACUGCACUUGCAGCUUCAGCAGCGCCGAUCAGGAAAUAUUGGGAAGAAGCCAAAGUACUGACAUGUCCACCACUGCUUCUGAAUCAUCCGAAUAUCCUUCCCUGAUAGCCAGACUACGUCGCUUAGCCUCCACUGUUGCUGUCACUAUCAUGCAUACAAAAGACAGGAGCAAUCCAAUUCCCAUUCUUUCCCUUGUUGAGAGAUGAACAGGUUUUUCCAAGAUUCUUGAUGCAAUAGGCAGGAUAAUGCGAUCAUAAAGAGCUAUCCAUAGUAUGACGCUGAUAAUGAUAAACAUGCCAAAACAACCUGCUGGGUAUUUCAAAGCUCGAACCAAGUUUCCUGUUCAUGGAUUUUGCUUGAAGCACAGAAAAAGAGCCCUGGCUGACAUUUACGGACAUUAUCAUUCCUGUGGACCAUAUGGGAAUUACUUUGAGAAGCGUCUUAAGGUCCUCAACUUGAUUUACUGUGCAAAGAGUCCAAGGAUCAGCUGCUAUUCCAUCUGUUGUCAAGUCCUUCUCAGGAUCUAUUAUGAUGCAAGCUUUAUUUAAGAACCCGAAAGGACAAAUUCUUGAAGUUCUUGUAAGAGAUUAAUGUAUGUAUGACCUAAUAGCAAUUGUUCUUUUGAAUGUUCAAACUUCAACAACUAUGAAAGAACGUUCUUAGAGUCAAAAACAUUAUAACAAAUGUUGAAAUCAACACCAGGGGAAAAACAAUGCAGUCGUACUUGUGAACCAAUUUCAUCUACCAAAGACAGGCAUCCUCGACUAAACAAGUACUAAUAAAUUGUUGCUAACUACCUGAUUUUUCUUAUGUACAUAGAUAAUGAGAGAAUUUUUGUACUUCCCUAGUCUAGGUCCUGAGAACGGAGCUAAUCAAUUUCAACAAGAAAACAAUAUGAUCAAGGGAACGCUACUCUAAAUUUGAACAUCCACUCACCUUAGUUUUUCACUUGGAAGAUUUGAUGAACCCUUCUGGUGAUGGUACAGCGUGUUUGAGCUCUCUGUUGAAACUUUUAUACGUUCUUUUCUAUUAGCGGCUACAGCCACUUGAAGCAUUUCAACCAUUAAGCUUGAAUUAGCCUUCAACUUGACAUAGAAGGGUGAAGCCAGGCAGAAUGACAGAGCUGAAAUGAACAUGAGCGCGACUGGAAUGCCGAAACCAACUUGCCAUCCCAUGUUGUCUUGUAGAUAUACAAUACAAGUAAAAGCGAUUAAAACAGAAAGUGUGCAUGAAGCAUAGUACCAGCUGAAAUAGGACUCCAGAACCCAUCCAUUGUUCUGUCCACCUGCUCUUCUCAACUGAUCAACACCAAAAGCUAAGGAUGAAGACCUAAUUCCUCCACUUCCAAUGGACAUUAGUCCAAAACAAGAACACAAGAGAAAGAGUUGUGAAGUUGUUGUAGAGCUACAAUUAUCAUUGGAUUCAUCACAUGGAGGCGGCCUUGCUUGUGGAAUCAUAGUUGUCAGCCACAAAAGAACCAUUCCCUUCAAAGUAAAAAUCAUUUUUCAGAUCAUUCAAUCAGUGUUAGAAAUGCUACACUGAAUUCAGAGAAUGUGGUAACAGAUUGGUCAGCAGCAUGAUGCUUUCCUACCACUGCAUGACAAGAAUGAAGUGCAAGAAGCAGGUUCGCUUUCAGUUUUUAUUUUUUCAGCCCAUAUCUAAGAGCUAAUGUUUUUAGUUCUCUUCAUUGCAAAGAAAUAUAGAUGGAGGUUGAUUUGUAAUUGAAAUUAAAAUUUAAAGCUGCUGUGUGUACAGAGAAACUAAUGCCCUCCGUAAUUUUUCGGAUGCCAUAUAAAGUUGGAAUCCUCUAUAUGGAAGAUGAAGGACUUGAAGCCCAAAAAAAUAGAAGCGUUAACAAAGAAUGAGAGUGGCUGGAACCAGAAUGACACCAGAAUUUCUAACACACGCUUUGAUGAUCAGCAAUGUUCCUAAGAAACGAGAGAAUUUUGUUAGUGCGUAAAGAUUACGAAGUGAAAGAAUAAAAAAGAUAUAUUUUUCACCUGGUUAACUUUUCCAUCCCUUUCAAACAAAACCACCAGCAGGAAAAUAAUACACACCACAAUUUACUAACAAUGGCGUGCCAUUCAAAGGACAUCGCAGCUCGCUCUUCUCACAUGAUAAUCUGUAACAUUAUUGUCCAAUUUCUUCUUCUUCCUUUUUUCUUUCCGUUUUUUUCUUUGGCAUGUAUAGCACAAGAUUUGCAACUGUAUCCUCUGGACAUGCCUCUAAUUGAUACCAAAUUCCUCACAAGAGUAAUCCAAUUAAAUGGCCCGUUUGACCCAAAAAAAGAAGGCAUAGACAAGAGUUUGAUGUUUCUCAAGAACGGGAGAUAAUCCAACCAUAUUCUGGGAGAAAAAGAAUAGAUUCAAAAACAGAAAAGAGUGCCUUUUCUCCCUCUUCUACUUUACGAUUCAGUACGAACUGGAAAUAUGUUAAACUACAUCCAAUAAUACAUAAUAAUUGCCAAGAAUUCGAUAUGAUCUGGAUUUUCAUGUAGAUUGCUAUCUGGGUUAUAUCCCCCAGAAAAAAACACAAAAAAAAAAACCCAACCAUCAAAAAUAUAAAAUAAAAUCAUAUCCACCAGUAAAGCAAAAAGCUAAGGGUACUUUCAAGAAGUAGUCCAUUUUACCAUACAAUCUGCAGUUGAAAAUGACACGAUGGAUGAACAAGCAAGAAAUAAGCACACAUUGUACAAUGAUGUAUUAAUUACUGAGACCAGUAAAGUUUGUAAAUGUAAUACUUACCAGAAGGCUAAAAAUGCAUCCAAAUAAGAUCAUCCGAAAUCGACCCACAAAUGAAUCUGCAACUAUAGCACCAAGAAGGGGCAUGAAAUUUGUUGCCGCUGACCAAAGAACAUCUCUAUGUUGGAUCCAGUUGCCAUCUUCAAAUGAUAUUCUCUUGUCAAGUACAAAAUCAUGUUAGGGUGUAGCCCAUAGCUUGCCACCUGCUCAAAAGACUCAUUUGCUGCCCCCAAAAAAAAAAAAAAGCAAAAAGCAAAACGAUCAAUUCAAAGUAGAAAAUUUUAUUUUAAUAGUUCAUCACUGAACUUCAAUUUAAUAAACUUACACAAAAUCAGAAUCAGAUAUGGCCAAAGUGAAUAAGGGUCGUGUAGUUUCUUGUUUGCAAAAGGACGCUUCAGUCCUCAAACCCUCCUUUCUCCACAUUCGAGAAGAGAAAAGAAAAGAAAAGAAAAGAAAAAUGUUACCUAAAAUGAAUGGCAUGGUUUUGAAGCCACCCUUUCCUGCAGACGCAUCAUGAUCAUCAUCAAGUAAAGGCUUGGUGAUCAACUUUUCACAUUCAGCAGCAGAGUUCUCCAUCAUGUAUAUGUGGACUUCUGCUGUUUCUUCUGUUUCUUCUUCUUCUGCAAUGAAAUGUGCUGAGCAUUUAAAUUGAUCUUGUCCAACAAACACAAGAAACACCCUGAGGGCGAAGGCACUGAGCAGUGAAACAAUGAAAAUUCCAUUUCAAGGAACUGCUGUUGUUUGUGGUGGUCCAUAAGAUCAAACAAAAGAGUUGAAAAAAAAAGGAAACAAUGAAGUCUGGACCGCUGAACAAUGAAGUCUGUUUGUUUUUUCUUGUUUGUGGUGGUACAUUUCUCUUGUUUGUGUCUGGGUUAAAAGUGGAUCCCUUACGUUAAAAGUGUCGAACUCGAAUGGCCGGGGAGCAGAGCAAUGACAUCUGGUACCGCUGAUACCGCUGGGUUAUUCCAACUGUCCAGAUUGAAUUACACAAUUUUCACUAGACACCCUCUUAAAAACUAGUAGCCCAAAGUUAACAAGUAUAUUCUAGUGUAUAGAUUAAUUACCUUAAAGUAAAAUGUAACAUACGUUAAUUGAAAUUUGGGUAAAUUAAUGGCAAAUUCUGUGGACACUUGGUGAAAAUAUAGUUUAAAAGAUGGAAAAAUUCCUUAGUUUUUCAAUACACAGUAAUUGGACAUUUUUUUUGUGUUCAGGGCGAAAAUUAAAGUAAGAUUACCAGUUGAGGGCAUCACAUGUCAGUUUUACACAAAAGUGAAAUUUAAUUAAAAAAAUAUAUAAAUGCAAGACAGGAAGAUCAAUGUAAAACUAUGCAUCUAAAUGAUAAAUCAUUCCAAUACAUUUGUUUGGUUCAGUGUUAGGAAUGUAUAUCAUUACUAUAGUUGAUGUUUGGUUCGUUGGCUCUUUGUAAAUGAGAUAUAAAAAAUUUUCACUAAUUAAAUAAAUUAGUAUAAAUGUAUUAGUAAAUUUAGUAUAACUAAUUAAUAAUUUCUAUUAAUAAACAUGUAUAAUUAUUAGUAUAAUUGAUAAUAUCAAUUAUAUUACAUAGAUUAAUAUACAUUAUAUAAUACAUAUAACUAAUAAUAUCAUUAUUAUAAGUUUGUAACUAAUUAAAUUAAAUAUUAUACAUAUAAUUAAAUAUAAAUAUACAAAUGUUAUAAUAUAAAUAUAUAAUUAUAAUGAUAUAAUAUAUAUAAAUAUUAAUAUAUAAAUAUAAUGUAUAUUAUAUAUUAAAUAUCAUUAUUAAUACCUAUUAGUAUAUUUAAAAUAAUAAAUAUAAAUAUAAUUAUAUAAUUUAUUAAUAUUAUAUACAUGUAUAUAUUAUAAUUAUAUGCACAUAUAAUAUACAGUUAUAAAUAUACAUAUAUAUUAUAAAUAUAUUAUUAUAUAAUAUUCAUAAAUUUAUAAUAUAUAUUAUAAAAAUAUACUAAUAUUAAUAUAAUUUAUAAUAUACAUUUAUAUGUAUAUAUUAGUUAAAUAUAAUUAUAAUAAAAUAAUUAUAUUUAUAUAAUAUACUAAUAUUAUAAUAAAAUAUAUAAUUAUAUAAUAUAUAUAAAUAUUAAUUAUACUAAUAUUAUAUAUUAUAAAGUAUAUUAUAUGUUAAAUAUAAUUUUUAUUAUAUUAUAUAUUAUUAUAUACACAUAUAUAUUAUACUAGUUGAUGUGCGCCUCGCGCUUCGCGCGAAGACAUUAUUUCUGCAAUGGGGUUAGUUUGUUAGUUUUGCUGGAACUCAUGAAUAAAGUGUAUUUACACUGCAAAAGAUACUGCAUUGACAAAAGUAGUAUUAAUAUCAGGAAAGGCAGAACUGGUCUAACAACAGAGCACCAUCGCACUGCAUGAUUAAUAUAUGCAUAUUUUUGAAUUAUCCUGUCCAGCACCAGCCUAGGAUGACCAAAUGUUUCUGUGCAAUUCCACAGAUGGCCACAUACAGAAGGUGCCAAUUGUCCAGAUACAAUGAUCAUUCACAACCAUGCAAUUGUCCAGCACCAGCCUAGGAUGAUGAUCAAAUGUUUCUGUGCAAUUCCACAAUUGGCCACACACAAAAGGUGCCAAUAGGGGAUCAAAUUCACUAUUCUCAAAUAGGUGAACCAAGGGCAGGAUCGGUAUAUAAGGGCACCACCGUCAAAAGCCAACCCAACAACAAAUGCCAGCCAUAAAUUCCUCAAAACAGCACACAAUAACCACACCACCCAUGUUCCAAAAUUACAAGACUACCCACACACUUAAGGUGCCAAUGAGGGACCAAAAUCACUGUUACUAAGACCAUUCACUCUUUAUACUAUUAGGAAUUAUAUGCACAUAUAAUAUACAUUUAUAAAUAUAUAUAAAUAUAUAAAAAUAUAUUAUUAUAUAAUAUUAAUAAAUUUAUAAUAUAUAUUAUAUAAAUAUAAUUACAUUUAAUUAAAUAAUUAUAAUAUAUAUUUAUAUAAUAUAUUAUAUAUGUCUAUAUAAUAAUUAUAAAUAUAUUAUAUAAUUAUACUAAUUUUAUAAUAUAAUAUAUAAUUAUAAUUAAAUAUUAUAAUUAUAAUAUAUAUUAUAUACAUAAUUAUAUAUACAUGUAUAUAAUUAUCUAUUAAUUUUUUUAAUGGGCGACGGGACGAGUCCCAUUUCUAAAUGGGAAUCAGACUUGGCUUUUAUCCAAAACCCUUCAAGUUAUCAGGGAAUUGAGGAAUUCUAAAUUUUUAGGUAUGAUUCUAAAAUCCCGAUUUCGAUAGUAGUAAUCCAAACAACAAUUAUGGGGUUUAUUCCAAUUUUCCAUUCUGAAACCCUCUUACCAAACACCACCUUAGACUUCUAGGAAUAACUUGACAACUUAUGGAUGGCCAAAAUAAAAUCAACUGUUAUAAGUUGAGUGAACUAUGAAUCACGCCGCAGCUAACUCUGGUGGAUGCGGGCUACUGGAUUAUGAGGAAAUGGGCCAAUGAAAGUAGCACCAAGAGGUAGCACCAAGGGGUUUAUUCCAAUUCUCCAUUCCGAAACCCUCUUACUACAUGAUUCUUACUUUACUCUCGAAUUUUAUUUUGUAUGACUUAACCCUGUGACAGACAAAAAUACCCUUCUACUACACUGAUUUUUUUUUUCUCUUUUAAGUUUUAAUCAAAAUUAAUUUUUUUUUCAAAUUCUUAUUUUUAAGCAACAAUGAAAGUAGCACCAAGAGGUAGCACCAAGGGGUUUAUUCCAAUUCUCCAUUCCGAAACCCUCUUACUACAUGAUUCUUACUUUACUCUCGAAUUUUAUUUUGUAUGACUUAACCCUGUGACAGACAAAAAUACCCUUCUACUACACUGAUUUUUUUUUUCUCUUUUAAGUUUUAAUCAAAAUUAAUUUUUUUUUCAAAUUCUUAUUUUUAAGCAAAUAAAAAAUUUUGCUAACAAAAACUUAAAGAUAUCCAUUCUCUAAUUUCUAAUUAUGAAGAAAAUAUAUAGAUUUUUUUGCAUAAUUAGUUAAUUAUAAAUAAAUAUCAUUGGUGUAUUUCCUAAUAUACAUACUCCUCUCAUUUGAAUCUUUACCACUAUCAAUUACAGUACUUAAAAUUAAACCACAUGUUAAAAUUCAAUGAAAAAAGGAAACAAAAAUUUCUCCAUUAUUGUUAGAUCUAAAUUUCUCUGAUGGAUAUUUUUUUAUUAGUUUUUUAGGUCGGCAAUUUCUUCAUUAUUAUUAGAUCUAAAUUUCUCUUUAAAUUUGAACCAGAUUUAAUCAAAUUUUAUUGUCAGAAGAUAUGCAUCGAUGUAUGGGAUUACAUUGAUUCAUCCGAAUGCAAGAUUUAUAGGAGCACCAAUGUUAUCUUUAUUUCUAUUGAUUUCCUAGAUCUAUUGUAUCUAUUGAUUUCAUAUCUAUUUGUAUUUGUGUCAUGUUUGUUUGAUUUAUUUUUUGCCAUUAGUGGAGAUUUAUUGAAUGAAAUGAUCUUUUUUUUUAAAAAAAAUCUAUACUUAUAAAAUGGAUUCAAAAAAUAAUGCACAGAAACAUAAUAAAUUUUGUCGUUUAUUAAAAAUUGUGUUGAACAAUCAACACUGUUUAACUAAGUUCGAGUUACAUUUAUAUUAUCUAUCAAUGACAUUGUGGUAUAAAAGAAUGGAUUAAUUUUUUAUGUACUGACAAUGUAUUAGCUUUUUAUGCACUAACACUGUAGUGAUUUUUUUACCCUAACAGUUUGAAUAUAUAUCACAUAUGCAUGAUUUAAAUUUUAAAUUUAAAUUCAUGUUACGUGACAUGAUUUAAACCUACUAGUAUAAAAAAAAAUUACACACUGACCAUGUAUAAAAAAAAAGUUAUCCUAAAAGAAAAUCCAAACGAAAGAAACCGCCAUGUCAAGCUAGCCAUUUGAGGCUAUGACUUCGUGCAACCUCAAAGCCAAUAGACUCUCUUUUGAGACACAUACAUCAAAAAGGGUUAAAAUGCAAAAUGUUGAAUUAUCUUUAAAGAUUAUGAGAUUUCCAUAAAUUAAUGGAAGAGUAAUAUUAGUAGGGAGAAGUUGUCAAAUUUGUCCUACGGUUUAUGACAUUUUCUCUUGGGUCCCUUGUAGUUUUGAAUAUUAUAUUUACUCUCCUAAUUUUCAAUUUCAAUGUAACAGUGUCAGCCCUUACCUAUAAACUAUUGAUAUGAAAUGCUAAAAAGAAUUUUCAUUUCCAAAUUACCAUUAUAUGGCUUACAGGUAAUUAGUGUAACAAAUUCAACGAAUACAAAUAACUUGAAAUGCACCAAAUAGAUGAAAGAAAUUUAUAACAAAAAAUCAUGUAUGGCAGGCUAAAAGAGUUAAAUAGGUUAUAACAAACAGCAGACAGAAAUGAUAUCAAAUUGUUAAUGCUUGAAAUACGUAGGUUCACAAGAAAUUGAAAUAGCAAAUUUAACUUUAAAAGGGCUUGAAAUUUCAAAACAAAAAAGGGAGAAAUAUAUAUUCCAUUAGCAGUGAUGUAGUAGGCCUGACCACAUUUUAGACGACAAAGUCAGUUUUUGUAAGCACCACAUGAUGCUGAAUGUGUCCUAAUCAGGUCUUAAUCGAGCAUUGGAAAAGGCAACAUUUGUAGCUGGAUUAAUGAUAGGUGUCGAGCCUGUACAAUAAUAAUUACUAAAAAGUCCUAAUUACCACCAUAAUUAAUUAUAGAACAAAUCCGAGUAUUGAAGCAGGGACCCUAGGUGUAUAAUGGGUUACUUGAUUCACCCUGUUUCCGAAAAGUUUGCUUGAUCCGAUAUAUCAGAAUUGUCUAUAAAAAUAUUAAAUUUGCAUACAAUGGCAAGUAGGGUCGAUUCCACAGGGAACGGGUAGAAAGUUGUUUCUUUCCAAGUCAAGGAAACAAAAUUCGGGGAUAUUUAAUGGAAUGAGAAUGAAAAUAAAAUAAACAAAAUUCAGAAACUAACUCAACAAGUACAAUUUACUAAAAAUGCUAAUUAAUAAAAUUCUACCCAAAUGAUCAACUUCUCAGGUAUGGUCCAAUUUAAUGAUCAUUGAUGCAAAGAUAUUUCAUUCAUCCGUCACUAGGUUGGUUAUAACUAUCAACAAGUUCUGACAACCAGUUCUUCCUUACUUUUUCGACAGUCAAGGUACGACCAUUAACUGCUUCUCUAACCAGAAAACAAUCCUAGGUACGACCGUAAGAAUUUAAUUCUCCAGUUGCAUUAAAGUUAGAAGAACCCAACUCUAACCAAUAAACACGUUAAGAGGGUUUAUUUAAACUAAAUCUUACGUUUUCCCAACAUAGAUCCAAUUAUGGUGGUUGUCACUAGUUGUCAACUAAACGAACAAUUACGGAUUCAAUUUAAUUAACGCGACAGUAGGCUAUUACAUUAAAUUAAAUAUCCGGCCGUUGAUACUCAAUUAAUAAAAUAACCAUAAACAAUUGAUCCAUGAAACGCACGAAUAGUGACAAAUUGGAAGAAAUAAUGAAAGUUCGAUAAGAUCUCACAGAUAUUAUGGACCGCGCCUUCGCGUCGACCUUUGGGUAGAGGAGAAACCUAGCCGCUCCUCAUCGUGUUACUCUCGCGUGGUUUAAUUGGUUCCAUCCAUGCAACUGCCAAAGAAUUGGGAAAAAUAAAGUAACGUCGAAAGCAAAAGGAAAAGUCUUGAUUAUCUCUCAGUCUGCGUCCGUACUGAAGCAAAAAGUAAAAAAAAAAGCACUAGAGGAAGUCGGUUGCAAACAAGAGCCAAAGCCGCAAGUAAAAUUGUCUGACAGGAGGAAACAAAGGCUAAUCUAUUAAGCUCGCGUAAUUCUGGCUUUUCCUCUGUUCGCCGCCGAAAAAGAAAAAAGAAAAAAAGUCUGACCGAAGAAAAGAAGUUAAAAACUAAUCUAAUUGAUAUCUCGUGAAUCUGGCUUUUGCCAAUUCUCUCCCCAGUAGCCGCUGACCUCUUUUUUUCCCUCCAAGACGUUGAAGUUCAAAAGCUUUUUAGGAGUAAAAACUCCCUGGGCCCUACUUCCUUUUCGGCCCACCUGAGAGUAGUCGCUUUCCAAUUCUUUUGUUCCUUUAUCAAUCCCGCGGGGUCCGUCUUUUGGGUAUCCUUCUACAGUUUCUGGCGUGGGCACACCUUGAGAUGAAAAGUCUUCUGAAAAUUUGUCCUGUGAGAGCAUUUUUUAAACCAACCACCUACAUUUUACACAAAUAUCAAAUAUGAGUAAAAUCUCAACACUUAGCAGCGUAAGUAACCAAAAUUAUGACCAAAUAAUAGCACAAAAGGUGCCUAAUAGUUGCUCUAUCAAAUCCCCCCACACGUAGACAAUGCUUGUCCCCAAGUAUUCCAAAACUCAGAAAUACAACCAAGAGAGCAAAGGUUAUGCGGAAAUUUACACUAACACAAGCAUCCCGUCUUCCUGAUAAUGUCACCAAAAUUAGAACACAUCGGACAGGUGGUAAUUCAAAGAAAAUGUAUGAAUACUAGGAACGCUCAAAUCAACAUCACAGAAUGGUAUUACCAUAGGCUUGCACGUUUAUCACAUCUCCACCACUCAAAGGUGAACUAAAUAUACUAAUCAAAGGGGCUUUAAUAGGGUUGUAAUGAUGCUUAGGUAGAAGGUGGGAUAAGAAUGUAAGGAUAGGGUGUAAUGUGUCAAGAGAAUGUCCGAUAUCCACCACAUAACCACAAUGCUUCACCAGAGAAAUUUCACAAGCAAGACAUUUUUAUUUGCUAUACCCACUGUGCAAGUGUUGGGAAAUUCUCUCUCUCUCUCUCUAUUUUUUUUUAAUUUUGAACAGGCGGCUUGCAAGGCGUGGGCACGCUAUAUAGGCCGAAGUCUUCUGUUCACGAACUUCUCUUUUUUUUUUUGAGAGAACGUCUUACAAGGCGUGGGCACGCUCUAUAAGACAGAGUCUUCUGCUCACCAGCUAAUUGACGUUUUCUCCUAUUUUUGUUCCAGAUGCACAGAAACGGCACCAUACAAAUUUUACUCUAACAACACUUGCGAUCCUGAAUUUAUUUGCCUUGCACAAACAAUGAGAUUCGGACAUCUCUUAACGACACAAGAUUGGACAAGAAAGUCUAAUAAGGUCCUGGGUUAUCAACCACGACUAACAAACAGAAAAGAAGGAUAAAAACUCAAAUUGGUUCACUAUUGGGAGACAAGGUGAAGGUAUGGUUUGUAGAAAACUAAAAAAAGUUAAAUCCUAAAUGUCCUUAUCAUUUCAGAUGCAUCCAGUUCAAUAAAAUGUGGCCUCGACAUGUAUAAAAUAGCAAGUUCUAGAAUGCCAAUACCAUGUGUGAUACCCACUCAAUUAAACAAACGAAGCAAACAAGAAUAAUGUGCUUGUGCAUGGCUCAAAAGCUCCCAAAAGUUUCAAGAAUGGUUCAAGUCCAGCAUGUUCACAUUCAACAAUAUUGCCGAGAAAAAUCAAAAUGCAUAACUGGCAUAUAUGACCACAUACCUGUGCACCAUGAUUGUGCAGUGCAUCAUAGCAACAUGCUCUGACAGUUAACAAAUAUAGAAAGAAAGUCAACUAACUACACUUUUUUUCUUGUUUUUCAUUUUCUUGUCUCUUUUUUUUUGAGUAAAAGGAAAUAAUAGAAACCAAAAAGAAAUAAUAGAAACCACCUCCCACACCUAAAACCUAUAUUCUUCUCAAUAUAGCAAAGACAAAUGAAGUGCAAGGACAAAGGGAGCGAAACUUCCCUGACUACUGAGAUGGUGCAGCGAGACCCUAAGGAGGAGGAGGAUAUCGCGGCUGGAAUCCAAUAUGAGUAUAGAACGCCGCCUGAUUCUCUGUUUGAAUACGGGCAAAAACAUGUAUCGCUGCAAGACGGUCAUCUAGUCUCUCAACUCACUCCCCCAGCGCAUGGAUAGAAUUCUGGAGGGAGCGAUAUUGGGACUCCCAAGCAGGAGGAGCAUGAUAGGAGGACGGACCCGCCUGAUCCGGGUGGGGUGGUGACCCAGUAGAGGGGAUAGUAGGAGGAACCCGGGGCUGUGGCCUACCCUCGCGUGCGUACGGUCGGCUGUGCGCCUAGAGGGUGCGCGCUGCGAUGGUCGCACGAGCGGGGCUUGGGCGCUGGUCUUUGGCUGGGCAGGUCUGGCACGCUGGCAGAGAGCUGGUCGCGCGCUAAGGGGCACUCCGCGUGCGCUGGUGGUCGCGUAUGUGCAACUGGGUAGGGCCCGCGCAGGUGGGUGCGCUGAGUGGAAUGGCGUGACGAGGCUGCUGAGCACGCUGAAGUGCUGUCGAGCGUAGGAGGAAGGCGCGCCCUGGGCAAGCGUGGCGCGCGCUAAAGCUGCGAGCUGGAGCUGGAGCGCACGCGUUGCUGGAUUACUGUGUGGUGCAUUGGUUGUGCGUGAGGUCAUGAGCUCGGGCUCGCGGCUCGCUUGUUAGGUAGCGCUUUCCCUGUGCGCUGCUGAUCUGGUGGCGGCGCAAUAAUCGUGCGCUGGUGACGGGCGGCGCGAUCGGGGAUGGCGAUGGGCCUUCAAAGGUAGCGAGUAAAAGGGUAGAGGCGUGGCGAUGUGGGAGAUUGCAGUGGUAGGGGGAAGAUAUGGAUGAGCGCGGCCGUGGAGAGGCGACGGCGAACAACGGCGACGGGCGACGGAGCACAAAAGUGGCGGCAGAAUGACAAGAACAGGAAGAAGAAGUAUUGAAACGUAGACAAAAGAAAUUGGGCAGAGCUUAGACAAGACCAGACAAAGAAGAAAAAAAAGUGGAAAAGUAUGGUCUUGGUCAUUAAAAAAAAAGAUUCUUUUGACUUUCGUGAGCGGAAGGGUUGGAAGGCGUGGGCACGCCUUGGAGGAUAUGGUCUUCUGACCACCAUGUCUUAAUAAUGUCCAAAAGAGUUCCUUGCGAGGCGUGGGCAUGCCUUGGAAUUGACAGUCCCCAACUCGUACAGUGCACCUGACACACCCCUUCUAAGGUGCGGGCACGCCUUGGAACCCCUAGUCUUCUGUUCAUCACCACAAAAGCAAUUAAAAUAAAAAAAAUAGAUCUGAAAAAUCGCAAAGUAAUGGAAAAAAAUGACCACAACUAAUACUGUAAUCUGUGGGUUGCCUCCCAAACAGCGCCUUUCUUUAAUAUUUUUGGCUAGACAUGGCAAUCAGCUGUUUAGACCUCAUAACUUGGAUCAUCAAGAGAUAUAACCUCCACUUGCUCACUAUUAAACCCUUCAUAAUAGGGUUUCAGACGGUGACCAUUGACCAUAAACUUCUUCUCCGUCUUCAAGUUUUGGAUUUUCACUGCACCAUAAUGAAAAAUAUUGAAAACGACAAAUGGACCAAUCCAAUACGAACGCAACUUAUCGGAAAAAAGUUUAAAUCUCGAGUGAUAAAAGAGGACUUUUUGCCUUACGACAAAUGGCUUCUUUAAGACUUGUUGGUCAUAGAAGAUUUUGCUCUUUUCUUUAUAAAUUGUUGCAUUCUCAUAGGCUUUAUUUCUUAAUUCCUCCAACUCUUGUAACUAGAGCCUUCUUUGCCUCCCUGCAUCCAUAAGAUCCAUGUUGCACUGCUUAAUUGCCCAGAAAGCCUUGUGUUCAAAUUUUACUGGGAGGUGACACGGCUUCCCAAAGACUAAUCUGUAUAGGGACAUUCCAAUUGGUGUCUUGUAUACAGUGCGGUAGGCCCAUAGGGUAUCUACCAACUUUAAACUUCAAUCUUUUCUAUUGGACCGCACCAUCUUUUCCAGGAUUGACUUAAUCUCCCUAUUCGACACUUUGGCCUGACCAUUCAUCUGCGGAUGAUAGGAUGUGGACACUUUAUGGAGUACGCCAUACUUACAGAACAAUGUAGCGAUCAUUUUAUUGCAGAAAUGGGUGCCCCUGUCACUCAAUAUAGCUCUCGGCAUUCCAAAACGGACAAAAAUGUUAGACUUUAUAAAUUCUGCAAUCACUCUUGAAUCGUUAGUCCAGGUGACAUUUGCUUCCACCUAUUUGAAAAUAUAAUCGACAGCGAGUAGAAUGUAUAAGAAACCAAAAGACGAUGGGAAGAGGCCCAUGAAAUCUAUAUUCCAGACAUCGAAAAUUUCAACAAAUAACAUAGAGGUUUGACUCAUUUGGUCUUUUCGAGAUAUAUUCCCCACCCUUUGACACUUAUCACAAGAUUUACAAAAUGAAUAUGCAUCCUUAAACAGAGUGGGCCAAUAGAAACCACUCUCCAACACCUUACGAGCUGUUCGCUUUGGCCCAAAGUGUCCUCCACAUGCAAAUGAAUGACAAAAAGUUAGAAUAGAGUGAAACUCACCUGCGCUUACACACCUUGUUAGCACUUGAUCCGAACAUUGCCUCCACAGGUAAGGGUCAUCCCAAAUAUAGUGUUUGGCAUCACUUCUCAAUUUAUCUUUCUUAGCCUUCGACCAACCUGCAGGUAAUUGAUUCAUUACCAAAAAAUUGACAAUAUCAGCAUACCAAGAUACCGACGAAUCAAUGGCUAGCAAUUGCUCCUCAAAAAAUGAUUCACUCAACGGUAGAUCCUCCUUAUUUGUAAGCAACCGACUCAAAUGAUCAGCCACUAAAUUCUCGGUCUAACUCUUAUCCUUAAUUUCUAAGUCGAACUCCUGCAGGAGCAAGAUUCACCUUAUGAGCCUCGGUUUUGCAUCUUUCUUCGCCAACAAGUACCUCAGGGCUGCAUGAUCAGAGAAAACAAUUACUUUUACACCCAAUAAAUAUGACCUAAAUUUUUCUAAUGCAAAAACAACGGCUAGUAAUUCUUUCUCUGUCGUGGAGUAGUUAAAUUGGACUCCAUUCAAUGCUCUCGACGCAUAGUAGAUCGCGUGCGCCACCUUGCCUAUCCUUUGCCCCAACACGACUCCUACGGCAUAAUCACUCGCGUCGCACAUGAUUUCAAACGGCAGGCUCGAAUCUGAGGGUUGAAUGACGGGCGGCGAUGUCAACGACUCCUUCAAUUUAUCAAAGGCCACUCUGUACUCAUUGGUAAAGUCGAAUGUCACGUCCUUUUGCAGCAACUUGAACAGGGGUGCUUUGAUUUUUGAGAAAUCCUUGAUGAACCUCCUGUAAAACCCUGCAUAGCCCAAAAAGGAACGUACUUUCCGUACACAUACGGGGUAAGAUAGAGCAGCAAUAAGAUCUAUUUUAGCUUUAUCCACAUCUAUUCCCUUAGCCGACACAACGUACCCUAAGACAAUACCAUAUUCUACCAUAAAGUGACAUUUUUUCAGUUAAAAAUCAGAUUCGUUUCAAUGCACCUUUUCAAAAUUAGAGUUAGGUUAUCAAGACAUUCAUCAAAACUAUCCCCAUAUACACUAAAAUCAUUCAUGAACACCUCAAUAAUCUUUUCUAUAUAUUCAGAGAAAAUACUUACCAUACACCUUUGAAAAGUUGCUGAAGCAUUGCAGAGACCGAAAGGCAUCCGACGGUAAGCGAAUGUACCAAAUGGGCAGGUGAAUGGUCUUUUCCUGGUCCUCCAGUGCUAUUGCGAUCUGAAAGUAUCAUGAAAAGCCAUCCAAGAAACAAUAGUAAACACAACCAACCAAUUUUUCUAUCAUUUGGUCAAUAAAACGGAGAGAAAAAUGGUCCUUUUUCGUCACAAAAUUUAGUCUCCGAUAGUCAAUGCACUGGCGCCAACCAGUAGCCUUCCUGACUGGAACCAUCUCGUCCUCCUGGUUCUCCUCUACAGUCAUUCCCGCCUUUUUCGGGACCACUUGAACAGGACUCACCCAAGGACUGUCCGAAAUAGCAAAGAUAAUCCCCACCUCCAGGAGUUUAACUAUCUCCUUUUUCACAACUUUCAUUAUCAGGGGAUUCAACCUCCGCUGUGUCUGUCUUACCGGUUUCGCAUCAUCUUCGAGUCGAAUCCGGUGCAUGCAUAAGGAUGGACUUAUUCUCUUGAUAUCUGUUAUAUUCCACCCAAUUGCCUCCUUAUGAUUCCUAAGGAUUCGCACCAAUUUGUCCUCUUGACUUGGAGAUAAAUGUUCAGAGAUAAUCACCGGAAGCGUCCCCCGAUCUCCUAGAAAUGCGUACUUUAGAUGCUUCGGGAGAGGUUUAAACUCUAACUCUGGUGCCUACACAACUGAAGGAAGCAACUUUGUCUGAAUUUCUGACACAAAAAGAGAAGUAAACUCAUACCUUGGGGAAAUGGGUGGCAGUAAGUGUAAUGCUUCUACUGUAUAGUGCAAUUCAUCCCUCAUGUCCACAUUAAGAGCUAAACCCAAUUCAAGAGAUUUGGUCAAGGUCACUUCCAAUGCGUCUUUACUAUCCAAUUCAAAAACUUUCUGUACAAUGGGUUCAAUAACACUCAAAGCAAAGACUGAGUUAGAUUCCUCCGAAUAUUUCAUUACCUCAAAAAUAUUGAAAUUUAUCAUUUCGCCAUCAAAUUUCAUUCAUAAAAUACCCUCAUUCUCAUCUAUUUUAACCUUAAUAGUGCUAAGAAAUGGUCUACCUAACAAAAUAGGUGACGAAUUUAACGACCUCUCAUCUCCCAUAUCCAGGAUAUAAAAAUCUGUUGAAAAAACUAACUCAUUUAUCUGAACCAAGACAUCCUCAACUAGCCCCUCUGGAUAAGCAUUGGUGCGGUCAGCUAGUUGGAUUAUGAUGGCCGUUUCUUUUAAUGGCCCAAGAUUUAGAGAAGUAUAAAUGAUUUUUGGCAUCACAUUAAUUGAAACCCCUAAAUCCAACAUUGCUCUUCUAAUCGGUGUAUUUUCUAUUUUGCAAGGGAUCGUGAACAUACCUGGAUCUCCACACUUGAGUGGGAGCUUUCUUUGGAGUAUAGCUGAUACGUUUUCUCCCACGACUACUCUUUCAUUCCCUCUCAACUUUCUCUUAUGGGUACAUAAAUUCUUGAGAAAUUUCACGUACUUUGGUACCUGCUUAAUUGCCUUCAAUAAGGGAAUGUUGAUCUCUACUUUUUAGAAUACGUCCAGGAUCUCUUUUUCCUUCUCCACCUUCUUCGUCUUCUCCAACCUGCAUGGAAAAAGGAGAUAAAUUAGAUUUAAUGGGUAUUGAUGGUGUAAGUGCUACCUCAGGAUCUCCACGAAUGCGUCCUUUUUCUUCCAUCUCCUUCUCGAUCUCGUCUUCACUUUUGCUCUUUAGGUUCGUGGCCUUAAGCCCCUCAACUUCCUUGCUACUCCUCAGUGUCAUGGCACUAACAUUUUUUGGAUUUGUCUCAGGUUGCGAUGGCAACUUUUCAACAUUUGGGACUCUAAGCGAUUAAUUGCAGUUGCCAUGUGGCUUAUUUGAGUUUUCAGAUUUUUCAUGCCCGAUCUAGUUUUUUGCUGGAAUUGAGCAAUGUUCGUGAUCAAGGAUCUAGUUUCUUGCUGGAGCUGAGUAGUACUCAUGAUCAGACUCUUGACAAUAUCCUCCAAAGAAUCUCCUGAAUUGGGAGGCGAAGGUUGAGAUUUGGGUUGCCAUGAUUGUUGAAAUCCCAGUGGACGAUUUGAGAAUGAAUUCUGUGGUCUGUUUCCAUAGCUGAAGUUGGGGUGAUCUCUCCAACCCGGAUUGUACGUGUUGGAGUAUGGAUCGUACUGCCUACGAGGUUCGGGCACACCUCCGGUCAUGUUCACUUGUUCAGCUCCCUCCUCUUGCAACAUGGGGCAUGAGUCAGUGGGGUGGCCCACGUUUUUGCAGAUUCCACAGACCUUUGCUUGGUACACGUUCCCCACAACUAAUUAUCAAACAAAAGAUGUUAGCUCCGAUAGCUGCUGCUGAAUGGACGUCAUCUCUAUCUCGUUAAACCUACGGGUAGGGUUACUCUCACGGAAGCCAAACUAUUGAGAGUUUUCUGCCAUUGCUUCAAUAAGCAACCAUGCUUCUCUAGGUGUCUUGUUUGCCAGUGUUCCACCACUCGCAGCAUCAAUGAUACUUCUGUCAGAUGACUGAAGUCCCUCAUAGAAGUAUUGGAUCAAUAGUUAUUCACUAAUUUGAUACUGUGGGCAUCUAGUGCACAACUUAUUGAAUCUCUCCCAAUAGUCAUAUAGGGAUUCUUCAGGGUACUGCUUAAUACUGCAAAUCUCUUUUCUCAGACUUGCAACCCGAGAUACAGGGAAAAUUUUUUUAAACAAUUUCUUUUUCAGUUGGGCUCAUAUUGUGAUACUACUCGCAGGUAAGUAGUAUAAUCAAUCCUUAGCACUAGAGGAAGUCGGCUGCAAACAAGAGCCAAAGCCGCGAGUAAAAUUGUCUGACAGGAGGAAACAAAGGCUAAUCUAUUAAGCUCGCGUGAUUCUGGCUUUUCCUCUGUUCGCUGCCGAAAAAGAAAAAAGAAAAAAAGUCUGACCGAAGAAAAGAAGUUAAAAACUAAUCUAAUUGAUAUCUCGUGAAUCUGGCUUUUGCCAAUUCUCUCCCCAGUAGCUGCUGACCUCUUUUUUUCCCUCCAAGAUGUUGAAGUUCAAAAGCUUUUUAGGAUUAAAAACUCUCUGGGCCCUACUCCCUUUUCGGCCCACCUGAGAGUAGCCACUUCCCAAUUCUUUUGUUCCUUUAUCAAUCUCGCGGGAUCCGUCUUUUGGGUAUUCUUCUACAGUUUCUGGUGUGGGCACGCCUUGAGAUGAAAAGUCUUCUGGAAAUUUGUCCCGCGAGAACAUUUUUUAGAUCAACCACCUACAUUUUACACAAAUAUCAAAUAUGAGCAAAAUCUCAACACUUAGCACCGUAAGUAACCAAAAUUAUGACCCAAUAACAACACAAAAGGUGCCCAAUAAUUGCUCUAUCAAUUAAUCUGAAACUGCUCUCUUUGGAGGAACAUCCAAGGAUGGUCGCUUGCAUCAUCAUCCCUUUGCAUCAUCUAAAUCUCCAUUUUGGAAUAAGCACACACAUAGAAUGUGCCAAAAGCACUAGUUAUAUUUAAUCUGGUAGGAUUGUUGUAAUCUAGGAAGUACCUGUAGAAGAUACAGAAUGAAAGCGUGAAGCUCUUUAUUUUAUUGCAUCAUACAAAUCGAUUCUUUUUUUACUUUCCCUGCAGAAAAAUGACAUGCAUGUAAUCGUAGACUCUGUAUGGAUGAUGCAGGUGACAAGGCAACUUGUUUUUUUGGCUAGGGACAAGGCGCCUUGUACUUUCCAAAUUCAAUGCAAAGAUAUUAGAUGUUGAUGUAAUUGAUACACAAACACAUAAAAGUACGGAAAUUUGUAUUGCGCCAAUUUAAGUGAGAAAGUGAGGUUGAAGAUGAUGAUCUUGACACAUAUUUGAUACUAUCCUUGAGAUGUUAUUUGCUUUCACUAUAUAAAGCAAAGUAUUUGUUACAAGGUUUACCUCUAAAAUACAAUAGGAUUUAGAGAAUCUUGAUAUCAAAUCUCAAGUUUUUUCUUUUACAAGGAAAAGUUCAAAACUCUUUCAUUUGCCAGAAACUUGUCAUUUUUAUAGUAAAAGACAUAACUCAAGAGGCGCAGAUUAAUCAACCACUAUCUCUCACAUUUAUAGGCAUUAAGAGACAGCAAUUACGUUCCUUUAAUGGAUAGAACAUGCCAAAAAUGUUUCAUAAAUUUUUUGGCUUUUAAGAAGAAUCCACAAACGGAUCCACUUCCUAUCGCUGCAAAUCCGGUCGCAGAUCCAUUGUGUUGACUUACCCUUUGUUUAGAUAUGUCAAAAAAUUUUUACUUUCCUCAUUUCAACAAAUCUUAUUUCUAUUUUAUUUCACAAACUAUUCCAACAUUAGACUUCAUAGUAUAUACAUUGUGAUAAUGUGAUGGAACGGACACACUGGCUCCAAAAGAAAUUUGGGUUUAAGACAUUUACGUACCUCCCUUUUGGUUUGACCAAAUUAUUAAUAUGUUCAAUUUUCUGUGCAGUCAGCAAUAAUUUGUUGCAAAAAACUAGUCUAUUGUAGUAUUUCCAGCUACAAGGUGAAGAAAGGGUUCAAUCAAUGCAUCCAUCACUCCUAGCAAUAACUUGCUAAAUCUUCUUACCUCCGGAUGAAGCUAAAAUUUCAUUUAAAAGGCAAAAGGGAAAUUACCAAGGAAGAUUAUUCCUCUUCUGCAUCCAGAUAUAACAAGUUGGAUGACAGGUUUUCAAGUAAAACGGUAGACUUACAAUCUUGAACGUUUAUGGUUUGCAUAUUCACACACCAAAAGCAUACAUCUAUAGAUACAAUCCUAUUCAACAGUGGCAUUGCCAACGAUUUGUAGAGCAUGAGUCUGACCUUCAUUACCAGCUGUGUGGAAUGACAUUGUUGAAAACAUCCAGAUCAACUGAUAUUCUUGACUUCCAGGCUUCUGCAGGUAUAUUGAUCAUGAUGCAACUUGUCUAGGUUUAACCAACUAUAUUACAGCAAUGAAAGACCUCUAGUUCUAGUCAUCCUGUUCAUGAAAAGUUGUCUCUUUCUUAUCUUCUUUGCCAGGACCAUAAGCCUUGCUGCAAAUGAGGAAAUAAAUCGUGUUAGGCACACUUAAGCCAGCAAGUACCCAAUAGUAAUAAUCAUAGUGACCCUUAUUGAUGUCGGUCGAAAUCCAGCUUUCUUUUCCUCCCAGUUUUGAGAGUUUGUCAACGGCGUUCAUAAGAAAACUUGAAACAAGAUUUGCCGCAGAUACCCCAAGUAAGGAAAGAGUGGAAGAUAUACUUGACAUGCUUCUUGGAAACUCAGAAUAAUAGAACUCAUUCUGUGCAACUAUAUUUGCAGUUACACCAGCACCGAUCAGGAAAGAUUGGGGAAGAAGCCAAAGUAAUGACAUGUCCACCACUGCAUCUGAAUCAUCUGAAUAUCCUUCCCUGAUAGCCAGACUACGUCGUUUAACCUCCACUGUUGCUGCCACUGUCAUGCCUAUGAAAGAAAGGGCAAUUCCAAUUCCCAUUCUUUUCCUUGUCGAGAGACGAACAGGUCUCCCCAAAAUUCUUGAUGCAACAGGCAGGAUUAUCUGAAGAUAAAAAGGUAUCCAUAGUACUGCACCGACAAUGGCAAACAUACUACAAGAACCUGCUGGCAUUUCAAAGUUUGGACCAAAUUUUCGGUUCAUGGACUUUGCUUGAAGUACAGAAAAUGAGCCCUGGCUGCUAGUUACUAACAUUAUCAUUCCUGUGGACCAUAAGGGGAUGACUCUGAGAAUCGACUUCAGGUCCUCAACUUGAUUUACUGUGCAAAGACUCCAGGGAUCUGCCGCUUUUCCAUCUGUUGUCAAGUCUUUCUCAGGGUCUAUGAUGAUGCAAGCUUUAUUUAAGAACCUGGAAGACAAAUUAUUGAAGCUUCCAUAAGAGAACAUUGUUUAAAUGACCUACUAGGAACUUCUCGCUUGAAUUCUGUGACUCAAAAAAUGUUAUUACAAAUUGUUGAAUUCGCCAACAGAUGAAAAAUAAAAUAGGAUUAAUUGCAAACCAAUUAUAGCUACCAAAUACAGGCAACCUUGCAUAAUCAAAAUAAGUUGCUAAGAACUUGAAAUUAUUCAUAUAUAUGAAUCAAGAAAGAAAUACAGCCCUAGCCUGCAAGCGGAAUUAAUCAUUUUGGAUAAGAGAACAUUAAGACCACACCUUAGUUUUUCACUUGGAAGACAAAUUGAUGGACCCCUGUGGUGAUGGCACAGCAAUUUUGAGCUCUCUGUUGACAAUUCUAUAUGCCGUUUCCUAUAAGAGGCUACAGCCACUUGAAGCAUUUCGACAAUUAAACUUGAUUUAGCCUUCAACUUAACAUAUAAGUGCGAAGCCAGGGAGAAUGACAGAGUUGACAACAACAUGAGCAUGACUGGAAUGCCAAAACCAACUUGCCAUCCCAAGCUUUCUUGUGCGUAGACAAUGCAAGUAUAAGCAAUUAAAAUAGAAAUUGUGCAUAACGCAUAGUACCAGCUGAAAUAGGACUCCAGAGCCCGUCCAUUGUUGUGGCCACCUGCUUUUUGUAACUGAUCAGCACCAAAAGCUAAGGAUGAAGACGUAAUUCCUCCAAAUCCAAUAGACAUGAGUCCAAAACAAGAACACAAGAGAAAGAGUUGAAAACUAGUCGCAGAGCUACAAAUUUUAUUCGAUUCAUGACAUGGAGGCGGCUUUGCUUGUGGAAUCAUA
rnacentral:lncRNA from 1 species